UAGCAUCCCCACCAUCAUCCACGAUCAGAUCAGGUCCACCAGUGGGACCCCAGUCGAGAGCUCUCUCAGUACACCACCAGUAUUCCUGUAGAGUCUCACCUUUCCAGGCGAAUACAGAGGCGGAUUCACGAGCGAUGGCGGCGGCGGCGUGGUCUUGGGUUGAGAAAAUGUUGCAAGAGCACCAACGGACUUCGGCUCCAAGGGCAGUUAGUGUUUCGAUAAGAACAGCGGUUUGGAUCGUCAUGUGGAGAGAACCAGUGAUUUUGGCUCCUUUGAAAGGCUGGGCAGGGCCGAACUCGGCUCUGCAUGACAUGAGACCGGGCAUUUCCACUUCGGCCAACUCAAUCUCGAGACGACCGAAGUCGGCCUGGGACAUGUCCUUGACCUUGUACUCACGGCCGCUAGAAGUUUUCUCGACUAAAAGAGCCAUGGCUAUCAAGAAACGAAGUAAAGAGUAAACACAGAACACAGUCUCCGAAAGAAGUGAUAACGAGGAGAGAGUGGCUGAGCGGCGAGGGAUGAGAGGCAAAGGAUGUUAUAAAUAGGAUAGGUUGAGAUGAAAUUGAACGGUCAAGAUUGGAUGGGUUGAGGUUGGUGGAUCUCGGUAAAAAGUUAAAAGAUUUGGCAUUGGGCUGCGUGUGGUAGACAAAGCGUAAUAUGAUUGAAAAUUGAUAUAAUUAAAAAAUAUAAAAAUAAUAUAAUUUUAAAUUUUAAAAAAUUAUAAACAAAUUUAAUAAAAUUAAAAAUUAUAUUUUAUAUUUUUAUAUAGUUAUAAUUUUUAUAUAAAAUAUAAUAUAAAUAUAAUAUUUUAUAUUAUACGAAUUAUUAAAUUUAAUAUUUAAAAAAAAUUAUUGAAACUUGAAAAUUAUGUUAAAAUAUUGACAUAUAUUUAUUAAUUUUUAAUUUUUAAUUUUUAAUUUUUAAUUUUUAAUUUUUAAUUUUUAAUUUAAUUUUUUGAUUUAUUUAUGCUUUAUUUAAAGAGUGGGGGCAAAUGAUUAAAAUUUAGUGUUUAAAUGUAAGGCUAAAUUUAAACUUUUAUAAUUUAUAAGUCUGAAAUUUUUCAAUGAAAAAAUAUGUAAAUCUCCUUGUAAAUCAACUGUUUAUUUUGAUUUUAAAAAUGAGAUUUUUUUUAUUUUUGAAUUUUUUUCGACAAAAAAAAAUAAUAUACUCUAGUUAAUGUGACAUGUUACAAUUCUUUUUAUGAGAAAAUCAUCAAUGAAAGAAUUAAAAAUUUGUAUUUACAUUAAAUUUUGAAAACUAAAAGACAAAUCCAUGAAAUAAAUAAAUAUAUUACUUAAAAUAAUAUAAUUUUGAUAAAUAAUUCUCUAGCUUUUAAAGUAUUUUUCCUUUAUAAGAUAGAUUGAUGCAUGCUUGGUAAUUAAUGCUCACCACCAUUACUUGAUGGCGUAUCCAACAUGCAAACUCAGGCAAACAAGUGUGGUUAAACGAUCCUAACAGCCACCAAGAAUAUUUAAUUUGAAAAAAGAUUAUACGUAAGUCUCUUCACAACUGCCAAUUUAUAAAAGAAUUAUGUGAUGUAAUUUAGAUAGGUUUUCUUUUAAUAUUGAAAAUCUACUAUCAACUUAAUUGCAUUUAAAACUUAUUCUAAAGCAAAAUUAAGGCAAUUCAACAUUUCUAAUUCUUUGGUUGUAAAAAUUUGACAGUGAAAUAACCACCCCCACACUAUUUAGUGCUUGAGAUAAUGCAAAAGCCAAAGUCAAUUUUACUCUAAUUAAUUAACAAUUUCCAUUUUCUAUAAAACAUAUAGAGGUAGCAAGAAAAAUUCAAACCAGCACCAAUCUAAUAUGUAUAUAUAAAUAAAUAUAUAUUUAUAUAUUAUAACAUACAAAGUUAUAUGGUAAAAAUUGCUUAUGUGGACAUUUAAGAGGAUAAUUUCUUUUUUUGACAUAUAAAAAAAUUCCUAAAAUUUAUCUACAACGACACCUAAGAUAUUUCUUAAUUUUAAGCUAUUUAUAAAAAAUAUAUAUUUAAAAUAUUAUUUAAUUAUCUAAAACUUUCAAAAUUUAAAUGAAUGAUCACUUUUUAUAUACUAUUUAAUUAUCCAAAUACAUAUAUGGAUAAUUUUUAAAUUAGUAACAAAUUCUAAUUUAGAGAUAUUAUUUUUUAGGAUUUUCUAAUAAUCUAAAUAUAUAUCUUUUUAAAUUUAAAAAUUUCAUAGAUAUGUUAUCUCUUAAAUUGAUUUACAAAAUAAGUACAUUUAAUAAAUUAUUUAAAUUCAAAAUGAAAAUCUAUAAAAAAAAUUAAAAAUUUGUACAAAUUUUGAAUUCAAAAAUAUCAAAUUUAGAAUUUUUCUUUCCUUUUUAAAUUUAGCGAAUUUUUAAGAAUAUAUAUUUAUAUGCAUCAUAAAUUUUAAAUACAUAUCUCCACUAAAAUUGAUUAGAUUUAUCUUUUAUUAUUUUGAAUUUGAAAGACAAAUUUUAUUUUUUAAUUUUUUUAUCGUUAAAUUAUUUUAAAAAUUCAAUUUCAAUCACAGUUAUCCAUUAUUUUAUCAUUAUUAUUUCCAACUAUGCAUCUGAAAUAGCAAUGAAGGGCGUCACUAAAAUUUUUUUAUUGUUUCACUUAGUCACAAUAACCCAUCAUUUUUUUUUUUGUUUGAGAAAAAUUAUAAUUUGUAACUAUAUGAUUUAUAUGUUUGUUAAAUAAUCAGUUGAUUUGUAUUUUGUUGGAUGAUUUACAGGAAGAGCUAGAGAUUCAAUUGUCUAAGAUAAGAGCAAAGGAUUGAGGACUUUUUUUCUAUAAUCAGUUACUUUUACAUCAAUUACCUUUACAUCAAUGUCAUUUUUUCUACAAAUUGAACAAUAAUAAGGUAUCAUAUUACAUAUAAUAGAAAUGGCCCGUUAAUUAUUACUUUGUAUAAAAAUUUGUAAUUUUUUAUAUUUCCUCCUCAUUAAAGUCAUAACACCCAUUUUAUUUAUAAAAAAAAAUUGAGAUAAACUGAAAUUCAAUUUAAUUUCUAUCUUUUUAUAUUUUUUAGAUUUUUUUCUUUCUUUAAUAUUAUUUAUUGUAUAUAUUAAAUUUUAUCAAUUUUUAAUUAAAAAUCAUUUUUAUUAUGAUUUGAUAUCUUAAUUAUAUUUAAUUAUAUUAUAUAUUUUUUGAACAUAUAAAUGAUUAAAUAAUAUUAAUUUAUAUUUUUAUUAAUAUUUAAAUAAAAUAAAAAUAAUCCGUGCAUCGUACGGGUUGCAAACUAAUUUGUUAUUAUAUUAUAAGUAAAUAUUAAAAUUUGUCACUCUACUUUAAUUUCAUUAAAUUUUAUCAUUAUUCUUUUAUUUUUUGUUGAAUUUUGUAACUAUAUUUUCAUUUUUGAUGAUUUUUAGACCAAAACUGAUGAAAAUAGAAUAUCCCAUUAAUAUAUUAAAAAUAAAUUUUGAAUAAAACAUAAAAUAUGAUGUGAAUAUUUUUUGUGUAGCAAAAAUUUUUCUUUUACAAAUUUUUAUAUUAAAAUCAAUAUUUUUAAUAUAAUAAUUUAUCAAAUAAAUAAAAUUAUUUAUUUUAUUAUAAAAUUGUAUAAAAAUAAAUAAAUAAUAACUUCUUCUAACGUGUUAUGUCACAUUUAUAUUCUUAUUACAUGUGAAACAUCCGUGUACUAUUGUAUAUUUUUAUCAAAAUUUAUUUUAAAUAUUUUAACAUAAUAUUUUACGAAAUAUUCUAUUUCUAUUAACUUUGAUCCACAAAUUAAAAAAAAAGUACAAUGAUAAAUUUAAUAAAAAAAUGAAAGUAAAAUUCAAUGAAAUAAAAGUAAAUGGCAAAAUUCAACAUUCACUUAUUGUACAAUAAUAAAUUUAUUUUUUAUCUCAAAAAUAAUUAUUCUUAUUUUUUUAAUUUAAGAUUAAAUAAGCUUUAGAAAGUAAAUAUUAAUACAAACUUUUGCUUCUUUUUUUUUUCACACGUCUCAUAAGAUCUUUUUUAAUACCUUUAUAUAAUGUUAUUUUAUAUGGUAUUCCAUCAUUUAACAAAUAUUGAUCCUUUGGUAGGUUUAAAAAAUAAGAGUUUAAUAACAACGAUAACAACAAUAAUAAUAAAUGUAAAAAUUAAAAAAAGAAGUAUACAAUAUAACAUAUUUAUUCAAAAAAUAGAUUUAUAAUAUGUUAUUUUAUGCAUAUAAUAUUUUUUUUCAUAUCCCAAAAUCUAAUUCAUGAAAGCUAGUAUCAAAACACUUUUUGAAUGCUUUUCCUUUGAGAUUUAUUUUAAUUGCUAGAUCAACAACACAAAAAAGCAUACAUAUUUGCUUCACAACUUUAUAAAUUCUUAAUGAAACAAAGUUACUUUUAACCUAUUCCUAAUAAAGAUGUUGUUGAACUUGAGAUUUAAUUUAAAUGAUUUAUUUACUUUUAAAAUAUAAAUUCUCAUAAAAUUAUAGUUCAAUUCUUGACUAUUGUAAUUUUCAUUCCCUAACUAAGAUGGCCUUGUAAAAAAAAGUGGUGUUGAAUCUUUCAAGUUAGAUGAAAUGAAAUGAUUAUUUGUAGUCAUUAAUCUUGACUAUAAAAGAGGAUAAUAAUGGUCUUGCCGUGUAUAAUUAUAGUUUUAAUUAAAAUUUCAUUUAGAUGAACAUGAGAUUAAUUACUAUAAGAUUGAAAAUAAUAAUAAAAUUUAUUCUAACUAUGAUUGAAAAAAAAAUUACUAAAGCUAUGAUUGAAAAAAAAAUUUUAAUGAAAAAUUUAUAUUGACUUGAUCUUAUUAAAAUUAACUUUUGAAUUCAACUUAAGAUACGGUAAGUUUAAUGGGAUCCAAUCGGAUACUAAAUUGGUAAUGAAGGGGGUAGCUAGAAUGAUUUUGCUUGAUUAUCUAUUUUCAAACAAAAAUGAUAUUGCUUUAUAUUUAACCUUACUAUACAUACCCAAUUUAGCUGCCUUAAAUACAAAACAUUAGAAAGAGUCACAACUCAUAAUGUUUAAUUUUAUCAAAAUUCAUUCAUUUUCAUAUUUAAUAAAAAUAAUAAUAAUGAAAUAAAAGCUUGUAAUUUUAAUUGUAUGUUAUAGAAUAUCAUAAUUCAUUUUUGUUAUUGAUGACUUAUUUGAAUAUAAUCUCUAUAAAAGAUAUAUCAUAAUUUUUAUUAGGCGAUUGUAUUUUCUUUAUAAAAAAAUUUAAUUUUUUUAAUCGAAAAAAUGAAAUUUUGAAUCUUAUUUUUUUAAGCAAAAAAUGUACAAAUAAUUAUUAAAUCAAAUAUUCAAAUAUAUAAACUCUGAUUUUAUUUGCUUCGCAAGAUUAUAAAAUCUCCCAAUCAAUUAUUCAGUAUUAAACAAUGAAGUUAUAAAAUUUGUUUUUCUCUUUAAAAAUAAAUGCCUUCAAAAAUCUUGGAUAAGAGACCGGUGAUGUCCCCAUGUUGCUAAAAGAAAUGACUGCCAACACUUGAGUGACUGUUAUAAUACUUUUUUUUUUUCAACCGUAAAAGAAUUAAUUUUUAAAAGUCUUACUACCCACAAUUCCAAUUUUUUGCUGGUCUCUUUUUUAUUUUUAUUUUUUAAUUUAAGGAAAUUUGGAUCUAAACUAGAAGUACUGUAAGGCACUGCUCCUUCCUCAGAUAUCAUCGAAUCAAGUUAAGAUCUUUUUCAAUUGGCUAGUUGAGUGGGACCCUUAGGCUUUUGUAGUAUAAAAAAGUCAACACAAAAAGCAAAGUAUUAGUCUGUAGAACGGUGUAAUUGAUAUAUUUGUAUUUGUAAAUUAUUUAAAUUUAAUUUUUAAAAAGAUUUAAAUUUGAUUGAAUUAUUUUUAAAUCGAAUUUAAAGUUAAGUAAUUUAAUUUAUUGAUCAAAUCAAAUUCGAAUAUUUUUAUAUUUGAUUUAAGUAAUUCGUGAACUUAAUUAAAUAUUUAUAUUUUAAUAUAUUUAAUUAUUUUAUUAAUAAAAUAUUUCGAAUUUGAGUUAAAAUUUGAGUACAAAUAAUUGAAUAAUUAUAAAUAUAAAAAUAAAAUUUAUUUUUAUAUGUUAAUUAAAGUUAAUAGAAUGAAUUUAAAUAAUUAAAUUUUUAUCUCGAAUCUAAUUCGAACUCAAAUUUAAUAUUAUAUGGAUUCAAAUUUGAUCGAUUACAUUCUUAUAUCUGUAAUCAUUUGAUAAAUAUUAAGGGAUGGUUUGGAAUUGUUGCUAAUUUUGCAUUUUAUAUUGAAAAUUUUUUAUUUUAUUUUGUUUUGUUAUUUUUAAUUUAUUGAAUUUAAAAAAUACUUUGAACAUAACAUGUUUAUUACAAAAAAUUGUCAACAAGUGCUAAUGAGAAAAAGUGACUAAAGCAUUUAAAGUGGCAGGGUAAAUCCUUUUAUUAAUAAAUUUUUAUUAAUCUUUUAAUUUUGAAAUAUUAAAGUUGACACAAAUACGUUUUUAUAUAUGAAUGAUCACUACAAGAGAUAAUAAUAUCUAACACUUUUGUAAAAUUUUAAAAGAAAAAUUAUUUGAUAUAUUGACAAUAAAAUUUUUUAAUUUUAAAAAUAGAAUUAAAAUAGUAACACAUGUAUUUUUAAAAAAUUAAAAAAAUUAAUAAAAAACAGAUAUGUAUAAUCUUUUUAAUUUCAUUUGUAAAAUUAAAAAAAUAUUAUUAUCAGUAUAUUAAAUAAUUUUUUAUUUAAAAAAUAUUAUUUUUGUGUUUUCCAAUUUUCUAAAACAUUUUGGUUUUUAAAAUAAAAAAAAAAUACACUCACUAAAAAUAUUUUAAUUUUUUUAAGAAAUUGAAAAUGAAAACAUAAAACACGAAAAAAAAAUUCCAAACAUACCUACAAAAAUUAAAAUAUCUGUGAAAGAAUGUAAAAAGUAGGCGACAAGAUUUACUUUUGUGGGGCAUACCUAUAAAACAUGUAUUAGUAAAGUUCAAAUAAAAAAUAAUGCAAAAUUUAAUUCAAGUAAUUUAUAUAAUUAUUUUUCAUAUACAAUAAAUGUAAAUUUUAAAUUUUAAUAUCUAACUCGAAAAUUAAAUUCAAAUUAAAAAAUCGAAGAAAAACAAAAUUUAUCAAUUGAGUUAAUAUUAUCAUUAAUAACUAAUUUUAUCUUAUUUUGCAUUUCCGGAGUCCAUUUGUGUUUUUUUUUUGCUUAGAGUCUUUAGUAUUUUUUAUUAUAUAUAUAUAUAUAUAUAAAUCUAAUUUAAAAUGCAUCGUCUACAUAUGUCAACAACAAAUUAUGCCGCUCCAAAAAAAAUUAAAGAUGAAAUAAUUUGAUUAAUAUUUCAUGAUAUUUAAGAUUUUAUUUAUAGAUAUACAUAUUUGUAGAGAUUUUAUUAAUCAAAGAAGGUGUACAUACAUUUGCUGACCCUCCUUUUCUUAAUUUUUAUUGUGUUUUUUUUUUUUUGCAAAAAAAAAUUCAAGGUAAAUAAACUAUUUAGUUCUCAAGUUAAUAAAAUAUAUCGUAUCUGAUAGUUUAAGAUAAAUAGCUACAUGUUCUGCAUUCAAAAUAAUUUUAAUAAGUAACCACCAAUAAUACUUGAACUUAAAAUUUUUUUUAUCGAAAAAGAUAAAUUUAUUUAUGAGUUGCUGAUGGGAAUUUAAUUUGAUUAAAAAUUAAACCAAUAUGACCUAACAUAUACGUCUUAAUUUAAAAAAAAAAAAUUGGUGAAUUCCAUCAAAUCUAUUUUUAAGAAAAAAUUGACACAAAUCAAUCCCUGGCUAUCCAAUUUUGGUUUUUUCAAAAACCAAAGAAAUAAUAAUAGCAAAGGUUUCAUUUGAAAGAAUUUAACGGCCUCUUUGGUGAAGCAUUCAUCUUGAAUUGAGUUGCUUGUUUUUGCUUAAUUUCUUUUUUUCAGGCCUGUUAAUGGAAAUUAAAACAAGAAUAUUGGACAGAAAUAGACCAUAGAGCUCAAAAAACCAACAAGCAAAUGCAAAGCUAUAUCAAAUAUAAUUAUAUCCCUAAACUAAAACUCUACCAUUCACAUAAAGCCAAAUAUGAUCAUCCCUAAACCAAAUAGUAGCCGCUGAACCGCCGACCUUCUUUCAGCUUGGACCAUCAGAACCACGCCUAAGCCGCUUUUAGACCACCUAUGAACCAGCCGAUUCGUUCGAACCGGAAGUGAACCGUUUUAGAAUUGUUGACUGGCUUUGAUUGUUUUUUUUUGGGUAAUUUUUCAUUAUUUCUCUUAUUUUUUAUAUAUUUUUGCUAAAUUAUUUAUUUGUUCUUUUAUGCAAAUUUAAAAUUUAAAUUUUUAUAUAGAUAUAUAUUAAAAAAGGGAUGUUCCAGAAUUCUUUUAAAAAAAAUAAAAAUCCUUAAAUAAUGAGAUAUUAAAGAAUUUCAAGUAGUGAUUCUUUAAAAAUAUUUAUGUGAUAAUAUUUUUUUAAAAAUCUAAUAAAGUACUAGAGUAUUUAAAAAUAUAUUUAAUAUAAAAAUAUUUUUAUUUACAUAUUUUUAAUUAAAAAUAAAAAUAUAUAAAAUAAUAAUAAAAGAACUUUUUUAAAAUAAUAAUAAUAAAUAAAAUAAUAAAAAAUUAGAAACAUAAUAUUUUUAUCCGACAAUAAGAUUUUAAAGUAAUUCAAGUAAUGAUAUAUGCAAAAUCUCUAGGUAAAUUUUUUUUUAAAUAUUACUAGUGUAUUAGAAUAUUUAUAAUAAAUUUUUAAUGUAAAAAAAUGUUCCUUUUAAAAAAAUUAAAAAAUAAAAAAUAAAUUAAUAUAUAUAAAUAAAAAUAAAUAAGUAAUUUUUCCUAAAAAAAGAGGGUAAAUAAAAUAUGUGUACCAAUAUUUCAUUAUUGGGCAUUGCAUGAAUGUCAUUGGAUUUUGAAAAAUAAAUACAAGCCUUCGAAAAUGAGAUUUUAAGAUAAUUUGAGUAACGAUAUCUAAGAAAUCCCUAGUUAAAAAAAAUUUCUUUCAAUAUUACUAGCGUAUUAUAAUAAUUUAAUAAUUUUGUCAAUAAUAAGGUUCUAAUUUAUUUUUCUUAAAAAUAGAAUAACAAAAAACAAAAAAAAAAACCAAAAUUAUCACAAGUAAAGGUAGUCAAGAAAAUUAUUUUUAAAAACUAAAAUUAUAACAUUUUUGUUAAAAUUAAAUGACAACAUACAAUUAAUUAAUACAUUUUUUUAACGAAUACUGUAGAGAUACUAAUCCUUUUCACAUGUAACAAAAGUCUUAAACUCAAACUAUUUCGCAGAUUUGAAAAUUAUUUUUUUAAUAAAUUUUAAGAUUUUAUUAAAAAUAUUAAAUUUAAUAGAUAACCAAUGACAACUAAUCAAAAAAUAUUAAUGGUGACUUUACUUUUUUCUUAAAUUUUCGUCUAGUAAUCUUUAAAACUAUUAUGAUAAUUUCCAAAUCUUCCUAUCCUAGAAAGUUCAUCCAAUUAUUUUGCUUUUAACAAAAAGAAAAAUUAUUGAAUUGAACCACUUUAUCAUCCUUCAUUUUUUUUUUUUUUUUGGGAUUGAUGGUUUACUUUUUCUUCUUUGCUUAGAUCAAUAGAUAAAUGCCUUUUGCUUAUUUUAUUCUUCAAACCCCACUUUGUAAAAAGAAAAUUAUUACUUUAUAACAAAGUUUAUUUUAUCAAACUUUAUUAAAUAGAAAACUUUAUUAAAUAAAAAUUUUGGGGGUUGACGCCUUUUACUUAUUUUGUUAAAUAGAAAACUAGAAUUAAAAAAAAAAAAAGGAAAUGAAACAUAUCCAAAUGAUGUUUUAAACCUUAACUAAAUAGAAUUAAACAAUAAUUAAUAAUCUUAAAAAGUAAUUUUUGUAAAUUAUUAUUAGUAUAAUUUGAAACUCUUUAAAACUAUGCCAACUUAACACAAUUAACUUAUUUACUACCAUAAUCUCAUGAGAAAAUAUUUUAUUAAAAAUAAUUCAUUCAAGAUCACUUAGUAAAUGAACAAAAUUCUUUUAUUAUUUAAGUUUAAAAUUAUAGCUAUAAUGUAAACUUUAUUAACUAGGCCUUUUAGUAAAUACUAGCUUUUUAUUUUUUAUUUUUUUGAAAAAAAAAAGUCAACCACGCAAGAGUCUAAAUUAUUUGAAUAUAUUUCAUUUCUUUAUUUUUUUUUGUUAAAAAAACUUCUAACUUUAUUUUUAAUAGGAUUUAAUCUUAUAUUUUUAUCUAAAUUUGUAAAUAUUGUAGAAAUAAAUUUUAAUAAAAUAAAAUAAAGAAAGGAAAUAAAACUAGGACGAUAGAUUUAGAAUAAUUAUUCUUUGCUAUCAUAUAAAAUGUAUUUAUUAGAAAAAAUAAAAAUUUUAUAAUUAUUAUAAAGAAAAAUAAAGUACUAUUUGCUCACCAUUUUAAGUUGAAUUUUUAAAAUCAACGCAAAAAUAAGACUUUCGUUUCCUUUCAAAAUUUUAUAAAUUUUAUUUAUUUUCUAAUAAAUACAUUUAAAUUAUUUGAGUAUGUUUCAUUUUUUUAUAAAAUAGCUUUUUAAUAGGAUUUAAUUUUAUAUUUUUAUCAAAAGUUGUAAAUAUUGGGAAAAGAAAAUUUAAUAAAAUGAAAUAAAGAAAUGAAAUAAAUUAAGAUAAUUGACCCAUAAUUAUUAUUCUUUGUUAUUAGAACAAAAUGUAUUUAUUAUAAAUGAAAUAUAUUUUUUAUAAUUAUUAUGAAAGAAAUUAAAUUACUAUUUUGACCCCUAUUUAAAGUUGAAUGUUUAAAAUUAAAGGCAAAAAUAAUAGUUUUAUUUCAUUUUUAAAAAUUUUAAUUUCAUUUAUUUUUUAAUAUAUACAUUUUAGUAUAAUAGUAAAAAGUAAUAAUUUUGAAUCUAUUACCUUAAGGCUUGAUAGAAAGGAUGGAAAUGAAUAAAAAUGAAAAAUAUGUUAAUUUAAUGGUUAAAUUAUAAGGUGAGAAAGUUGUUAUUAAUUUUAACUAUUAGAUGAACAAAUUUUUCGUAUUUUUCAUCAAAUAAAGCUUAAAAUUGUAACUUUCUGGCAAAUUUUGGUCAGAAAACAUCUUGAUAUAAUUUUUAAAAGAUUUGGAACUAUUACAGAAAUAUUACCAUUGAUGCAGUCCAAUAUUAUAAAAAACUAUCACAAAAUAAAUUAAAAUUUAAGAAUCAAAAUAAAACCCAAAUAAAAAAAAAUCGAAACUACAUAUGCACUUGAUUUUAAUUAUCAAUGCAUGCAGCGACAAUCAAACCAUCUAACGGAAGCAUGCUAGAAUCCAAGAAAAAAAAAGUACAAAGACAUGGAUUAAAUAAUUAGCCUUGGUAACCAAAAUUCUCAAGUUGAAGGCUACAACCUUAAAUUUUCUACUUUGAUAACAACUUACAAACUACUCUAUUAAAAUAUUGAAUGUUUGAAGUAUAAUUGCAAGCGAAUUAGGGUUUAAUUUAAUCAAUUUAUGUAAUUAUUUUUAAAAUUAAUAUUUAAUAAUUUUAAAUUUUAAAAUAAUUAUUUGUUUAUCUCAAAUUAUAAUAUAUUUUUUUUAUCAAUGUCUGUUGGUCUAAGUGACAAGAAGUUAUAUUUUUUUUAAGUAAGGUUUCAAUUUCAAAAUUUGUGAAUAAAAAAAAUAAAUAUUAAAAAAACUUAUCCUUUUUAUAAGAUCAAAUCUCACACGACUCCAUAAUAGUUGAAAUUUCAAGUGACUAUUGGAUACUGAAAGAUCUUAGAUAAAAAAAAAUUUAUAAAAAAAAUUUAAUUCCAAAAAAUGGAGAACUUUCAACUAUAUGGUUUAUGUAUAAAUUAGGAUUUAUGUAGGACAAGUAGAGUGACUGAAAUUUCAGUCUCUUAAGAGUUGGUCCAACUCGUAGUUGGGUUGGUGAGAGUUGGUAAGGCCUUGUCAUUAUUAUUAUUGCACAUUUAAAAUUUGGCUGCUAUCUCUAUUUUCUUUUGUUAUUAUUUAUUUAAUUGAUAAAAAGGGCAGUGGCAGAAGUUUUGGGGGAGUUUUGAAUUUGAGCAACAAUGGUUGAAACCUGAAAGUGGCACCAUGCCACCAACCCCGAAAAUGUAUGCUUCCAGGGGAAAAGGAGCUGAAGUGGAGGAACAGGAAAACGGGGUCGAUUUUCAGGCGGUGGUUGGUGGUGUUGAAAUGACUGAAUUGCCACUCAACAACCUCAUUAGCCAUCGCAUUGAUGAAAAUAGUUAGAAAUAUGAACAGAUCAUAUAUUCGUUAUUUUUUAAUAUUCGUAUUCGAAUUUAUUUAAAUAUAAUAUUAUUAUUUAAAUUUAUAUUCAAUUAAAUAUGUAUUAUUUAUUAAAUAUUUGUAUCUGAAUCCGUAUUCAAUUAAAUAAGUAUUAUUCAUUAAAUAUUUUAAUCUAUUAAAAUAUCGAAUACUUAAUUUUUUGUGAAAAUAUAAAAUAAAAUGAAUUAAAUUUAAAUUCAAGUUGAAUCUUUUUUUUUUUUUGAAACAAAGGAAGAGAGGUGGCUCUUCGAUCCAGUACAUGUCUUGAUCACAACUCAAAGCAUGUUUGGCUAGACUAUGAGCUACAUUGUUUCCUGUCCUUCCUAUGUGAAUGAAAUUACUGCUGGUAAAACCUCUACUUAUAUCCUUUGCUUCUCCAGUUAUCACGCCUAUGGGUGACAAGUCCAGUUCGCACAACUGUAACCGUUUUAAUACAGUCAAUGAGUCUCCCUCUAUUAUUAUAGAGCUAAAUCCCACGCAAAGUUGAGAGCAGUAACAGCUCCUCUUGCUUCUGCCAUGAACAAGUUAUCAACCCUAUGGAUCCUGGUCGCACAUGCUCCCAUCAAUUGGCCUUGUGAGUUACGGAUCACGACUCCCACUCUUGCUGUCUUCUCAGAUCGAUUCAGUGCAACAUCAAAAUUCACCUUAUAACUUCCAUUGUUGGGUGAUUGCCAUCAAGAAGGUUCCUGCUUCUGUCCCCUCCUUGCUCUCUCCUGAGCUUGGUUGUAUUCAUGGCUGCAUUGUCUGAUGAAAUUUUCAUUGCGACUUACUGUGCCUAUCUCCUAUCCAUGUAAAGUUUUGUUUCUAUUUCGGUUGUUAGCUUUAAUAUCUUUCCUUUGAGCCAUAAAUGUCCUUCAUCUGGUUCACCACAUUGAGUAUCCCAAGAAAAAUUCGGACACUAUCAUACCUUUUUCACUGCUUCGUAUUUUUUAAAGCAUGGAAUAACGUUUCUCUUUUAUUUUUGCAUCUUCCACAAACCUCAUCGACUUGAAUUCCUCGUUGUACCAGUGCAACCAUGGUUGGUAAUAUACCACGACAUGCCUUCCAUAAGAAAACUUUGAUUUUGUUUGGAACAUUUGUUGUCUAUAAUUUCCUCCACAUAUGUUCCUACUGGCCCAUUGUGCCAGUCGCGAUGCUCUUCAUUGCUUAGCAUCCUAAUAACCUUUUCAUGAAUAUCUCCCGUUAUCACUAUGCCAUACAAGAAUGUCUGACCCUUUCCCCCAUACUCAUUGAUAUCUAUGCUGAUGGUCUGCUUCGUUUCACAAAUUUUUCACUAUUAUCAUGCAUGCUUUAGGUACUAAUAUAAAGUACUGUGAAAGGUACCCACUGAUCGGUUAUCUUGUGGAUUUUUUGUUUCUACCCUCCACCUCACUCGCCCUUGAGUGUUAGAAAUAGACUCUCACGAACUCCUCCACUUAAUGAUGGCUUGUUGCCCAAACUCGAAUGAAGAAAUGAAACUUUUGGAAAGUAUUUACCUUUAAGCACACGACGCACAAGUGUGUGUUCAUUCUUGAGUAGCCGCUAUAUUGUUUAGGCUCCAUUGUCUUGUUGAUGCUGGUCAUGUCAUGGAACCCCAUUCUUCCAUGCUUCUUUGAGCAACACAUCUUAUCCCAACUAAGCGAGUGUAGUCCUUUUUUGUCCUUGUUUUGCUUUCACUAAAACUUGCUUAUGACUCAAUUCAUUGCCAUUUGCAAUGUUUUAGGAAGUAGAAAACAUCCCAUGGUAUAAGUUGGGAUAGAUUGCACCACAUAUUUGAUAAACACCUCCUUGCCCCCUUGUGAAAACAUUAGCUAAGCCUUCCAGUCAUUCACCUCUCCAUUCUAUCCUUAAGCUCUUUAAAAGCUCUCUUUCUUGCCCUCCCACCAUAGAAGGCACUCUUAGAUAUUUCUCCAUGCUCGAUAUGGUCUCGAUGCUCAACAUAAUCUUGGUUUAGGAUUUCAUCUUGUCCUGCAUUUUGUAGCUGAAAGUUUAUGCACUAGCCAGAGGUUUCUUCAUACCUCCUUAGCACCUGCCUUACCACCUCGCUUUUGUUUUUAUUUGCUUUAGCAAAUAAGAUACUACCAUCAGUCGAAAAAGAGUUGAGUAACUCUGGCUCCAGCCUUACUUGCCAACAUUCCAUGGAUUCGACCUUCACCUUGGUGUUUGUGUAAAAGUGAUGAUAGACCUUCUGUGCAAAUUAGAAACAAGUAUGGGGAAAAUGGCUUUCCUUAUCGGAGUCCUCUUUAUGGUCUAAAGACAUCAGUCAUACAACCAGUAAUCAGAAUUGGGUAAAAGACUGAAGUUACACAUUUCAUGAUAAGACCAAUCCACUGCGUAUGAAAACCCAAUUUGGUUAUCAUUCUAGCAAGAAAGUUCCAUUCUACUCUAUCAUAUGCUUUGCUCAUGUCAAGUUUUAAGGCAAAGUAACCAUCCAUCCCCUACCUUUUGUUUUUCAAGGUAUGUAACAUUUCAUAGGCAACCGAGAUGUUAUCAGUGAUUAGCCUCUCAAGGACAAAAGCACUUUGAGCAUCACUAAUACAAACAGUAAGGAUGUGUUUGAGCCAAUUAACUAGGACUUUUGCUAGAAUUUUGUAUAUAACAUUACACAAGCCAAUUGGUCUAAAGUGGCUAACAUUCAUAGGAUUCUUGAUUUCUGGAAUAAGACAAUGUUAGUGUGAUUUAUAUCCUCAAUCUUUCUCCCCCCAUUCAGACAUUCUAAGCAGUAAUUUAUAAUAUCAAUCCCAAUAAUAUUCCAAAAUUUUUAGUAAAAAAGUGAUAGCAUACCAUCAAAUCCAAGGGCUUUGGUUCGGUGCAUCAACCUGAUUGCUAUUUGAAUCUCUUCAGCUUGUAACUCUACAAGGAGUGAAUUAUUCAUUUCUUCUGUUACCCGCGGCUCAACUGCCUCAAGAACAUGCUCAUAGUUAUUUGUCCUGUUUAACUAAAAUAGUUUCAUGAAGUUUGCAGUGGCAGUUUGAUGGAUGUGUAUAUCAGUCUUUCUCCCCCCAUCCUCCAUUCAAUAACCCUUUGAUUAAAUUUCUUUUUUUUUUUUUUUUUCGUUUGGUUACCUGUGCACGAAAAUACGCUGUAUUUUUAUCUCCCUCACUCAACGAAGCAAUCCUUGACCUCUACAGCCAAACCAGUUCUUCUUUUUCUAGUAGAAGGUUUUGCUCCUUUCAUGCUAUUUUCCUGUACCAAAGCUUCAUCUGUUGGGCUUGAAUGUUGAAUGCCUCGGAGCUCUUUUUUCACCGUUUCUAUUCUAUUCCUCAUACUGCCAAACAUCCCAUCUUGCCAGAGCUUUAAUUUCUAUUCUAUUCCACGCCAUGCAUUUUCAAUCACGUGCCCACAAACCGAAACAUGCAUCUCCCCCUGUGUUUGUUUUUACAUUUUGCGCCAUCUGUGUUCAUUAAUAUAGGCACAUGGUCAGGCACUACUAGAUGUGACCAUCACCUCGAACAUCCAAAAGCAGUAUGGAAAGCUCUUGGAGGACUUCAACAAAGGUUUGGACAACAAGAAGGAGAUUGAAGAGCUCAAGUCUGAUGUUGAGAAGUUCGCGUCCUCAUUUGAAGUGCCUGGCUAUAUGUCCAAAAUGAAGCACAAGGAUUAGAACUAAAUACUAUCCACUCUUAUUGCUGUCAUUAUCUGCAUUUGGGUCUUUUGGAAUGUUGCCUCAGUUAAUGUCCUGAGCGGAAAAACAGAAAAAAAGAAAGGGAAAAGAAAAUGAAGCAACUCUGAUUAACACCAGCUUAGGAUCACCUUAUCCAACUCUGAUUUUGAAGACAUCAAUCCAACACAUCAGAAUACAGUGACUUAUUGAACUCCAAAAAUUAUUGAAUAGCCGUUAAGAAUUCCAAAAUUCCUAUGAUUUGUUUAACGAUUCAACUCAGUUAUAGCAAAUGAGGGCAUUGCAAUUCCAGUCACAUCAACUAGCCAAUACAUUUGUGCAAAAUAAGAAUCAUGCACCUCAGCCAUCAUUUUGAUUUUUUUCCUUGUUUCUUCUUGAUAACUUCAUCAAUGUACAUUAUACCCUUGCCUUUGUAAACUUCUGGAGGCUUGCAACUUCUAACAGUAGCAGCAAAUUGGUGCACCCUCUGCUUGUCAAGUCCAGUGCAGCAGACUACAUUGUUUUUGAAGCAGAAAACACGGACAGCUGGAGGAACAGUAAGUUCAACCUCAUGACUGUAUCCCAGUUUGAGAAAUAAGAGCCUUCCCUCGGCUUCAGCUCUGGCUUUGUACCCAACUCCAACAAUUUUAAGAAAGCGAAAGAAUUUAGUCUCCAUGAUGAUUGAAACAACAGCCUGAUAAGUGUAGUCAUUUAAAAGAUCAUCGUAAGGAAAGAAAAACAAAUGUGGACACAAAGGAAAUAAAAGAGCCAUGAAACUCCAAUAAAUCAUUUAAUAUUUGCAUAUUGGCUUCUCAAACCUUGGUUGCAAUAAAUUAGAAAGUUAGCAUCUCUGAGACAACAAUUAUUUACUUUGAACUUCAAGUGAGAAUAGUAACAACUUAAAAGUUAAAAAGUAGAAAAGACAUCCCAAAUCUGUGGUAUUGCAAUUCACAUUCAUGGAUAACAAAGAGCAAAAACUUUUUUAUUUUUCUUUUAAUAUUUUACGCAUGACUAGUAUAUUUUAAAAGGAAAAAGACUAAAGCUCCAUUUGGUUUUUGUUUCUUUUGGUAAUUUACUCAGGUUAUUCCUAAGCAUUACCCUAAUUCCCUCUUCGGGUGAUUUUAAUGGUGCACUCUCCCAUAACGGAGUGCUUCCUAUCACACAAGGAUUGAACCUUAAUAGACAAGAGAAGAGGCUCCUCUACAUACCUUGGUAUGGCUUUUGUUACUUGCAUUUUACUUCUUAAAAAGUUGCUAUAGUGCAAGAGCAAAAUCAUAAUCAAUUAAAUAUGAAAAAUGAUUAGAAUGCAGCACCGAGUACAAUACAAACGUUAUACAAAGAAGUAAAAUCAUUCAUUUUGUCAUCUAAGACGAUUAAUUCUUCAAAAAGGCAUUUAUCUUCCGCAAGCAAAAACCCAAAGCAAAAGCAAAAACUGGCACCUAACUAACAUACAGAAAUCAAGAACCAAUUGUUAAACAGGAAGGCAACAAAAUUUUAAUUAAUUACAACAAAAUGUGGUUCUAUAACAGCUUUGAGUCAAGGUUUCCCACACCAAUACAUUGCCUUUUUAAAAAACGGAACCUGGAGUUACUUAGAAAAGUUAACAGGGCAGCUUAGAAAAGUUACUUAGAUCAUUUGGUGCCAUAAAUUGAUCAGAACCAACUUUGAAGUUGGAAUUUGUUGCUUAACAGAUUCUAGUUUGCUUCAAGGUUCAAAACUGCAGUUGAAAGAAGGCAAAAGCAUGGCUAUUUGGCUGUCACAGACAGUUCUAUGUUGUGUCCUUUUGAACAAACAUAAAGUGAUUUCUAAAAUAAUAUGAACUACGAUGGCUUAAAGAAAUCUGACGUUGCCAUGAAAAUUUUGCAAAGAUUUUGAGACAAGACCCACUAUAUUAUCUUGCUCAACGUCAAACAGAGAAAAAGAUGAACAGUUAAUAACACAUGUAACAAAAAAAAAAAAAUCUAGAAAUACAGACCUUGCCUACUGCUUCCUCCACCUGGCACCACCAGUUAUGGUUCCGGUUAAUUCACUGUUCAAUCCUGAAGGAGCUUCGCUGCUGUUGCUGUUGCUGUUGCUGUUGCCGUUGCCGUUGCCGUUGCCGUUGCCGCUGACUGGGGAAGGAAGGGGUGGCUGAGAAGGGGCGCCGCUUGGUGUGAUUAGGGACUCGAGAGAGUGGAAGACAAUUUUGAACGUUCUAUAACCUGGGCUAAGGCUAAGUGUGUCAAGCGAUUUUCAACGUUUUGGCCCAUGUAAAGCCCAAACUGGUUCCAUUCAAGUUCCGAGUUCCCUUUACCUCCAUGUCCACCCAUUUCCAUUGCAGUGGUCGAAAUGGAAUUCAAAGAAACCAAUAGUUUUAGUUUGGAUUGGGACCAGAAUUUCACUGCCGAAGUGAUCCAAUUGAUGGACGCCAUUGAAGCCACUCUUCAGUCCUCUUCAUCUUCUUCUCCAUCUUCUCUCGUCAAGAAACGCCAGUCCACCAGCCUCCAAGAAAACAACCCCCAAACCUGCCGGAAAUUACCUGAUUCCAUUGUCUCUCCACCACCUUCAUUUCCAUUUUCCUUCUCACGCUGUCAAGGUAUUGCUAUCAGUUCCUUUACCCAUUUUUCUUUCACAAUUUUGAAUCAAAUAAUUAGUAAACCCUUUGAUUUUCUGAUUUGGCAGCUCGUCCAAGGUUUAGAUAUCCGCUAUUGAGAUUUGGAGGUCAAAUUUUGUAUAGCAGAACAGAAGCUGAGGUAGAAAAAGCUGCAAUGGAGCUUUUGAAAGUUCUUGAAAUCCAGAAAAAAGAAAUGGGUCAAGUUUCUAUAGGGUUUGAUAUUGAGUGGAAACCCUCUUUCCAAAGAGGUUUGCUUGAUUGCUUUCCCUACCCUCCUUGUCUUGCUACAUUCAUUUCAUAUCAUCCUUUUUGUUUGUGUUUUUGUGGUUUUUUUUUCUGUUUCCUUAGAAAGAAUGUGUGAAAAACCAACUGUUUUUCAGCGCAAACUACAUGAUUUUCUUUAUAGAUAGAAUUUUUAUGUUAGAAUUGGUAUUGCAUUGUUGUAAUUACUUGUUUUUAAUCAGUUGUAAUUUUGCUGUUUAGACAUUGUGGUAUGCUAUAUUUUGAAACUAAAUAUUUAUGCCUUGUGUUUGUUGAUGUCCUGCUAUAUCCUUGCCUUGAUGAAGGCCUUUCAAUUUGUCAUAAAGCAGCAUUGCUACAAUGUCUUUUAAAGCAGAAGCUAAGCACUCUUUACUCCCUGUUUCAUGAGUUGUUGUGGCCAUUAUCAAUCAUUUCCUCUUAAGGCUAUAACCAUGAGAACCUCAAUGGUUUUUUAUUUGUAAAUUUUAUUCUAUGUUGGUGAUUCUUUUUCUUCUUGUUUACCUUCUGGUGGAAGUGGCCUAUUUAAAUCAUUCUCAGAUUGCAUUUAGAAGAUAGCAUUGAAACAUGAACACAUUGAAUUUGCAUUAGUACGCAUGGUUAAAUAUCCAUUGUACUUCUAGGGUAGGGACUAAUGUGGUCAACCACCUCCUAAUAUAUCACUUGUCUAUCUGGUUCCUGUCUUGCCUUCUUGACCUUUCAUCAAAAGUAGUUACUAUAGACAUUGGCUCUCUAUCAAUUUCAGUAGUUAAGGGGGAUGGGAAUAACUUUAUGGGACUUUGCAGAGUAUGGGAUUAGAUAAAAGGGGAAAUAAUUACUUCCUAAUUUUUCAAUCACAUCUGUAGAACUUCUUCCUGCAUCUCGAUGUACAAAGGGGUUUUGGUUACAAUGCUGCCUAGUGGUUUAUGAACCAAAAACUUUGGUUGCUUCCUUGCAUCCAAUUCAAUUAUAUAUAAGAGCUUCAUAUUCUGAUUAAGAAUCUUUAUUCUCAUUUUUUUAAGCCUUUUUGCAAAGGUUGUAGGGGAGUUAAGCUAAAAUUGUCUUAAAUUAUACUGUAUGGAUAAUUAUUUAUAGUUGGAAUUUUGAGACUGCAGGUAUUUUGCCUGGGAAGGCUGCAGUCAUGCAGAUAUGUUGUGACAAUAGGUAUUGUUAUGUGAUGCAUAUUAUUCAUUCUGGAAUACCUCAAAGUCUGCAGGUUCUCCUUGGGGAUUCCACAAUUAUAAAAGUAAGUAAUAUCUUUACUCUUUACUUUGUGUCUUUUUAUUGUCUACCUAAAUUCCUGAUUUUCUAUAUUGGGAUUGUAUAUUUAGUUUUUAGCAUUUCGAAUUUAUGCUCACAAAUGAACAGGUUGGAGUUGCAAUUGGUGGCGAUGCUGUCAAGGUGUUCAGUGACUAUAAUGUAUCUGUCAAAGCUGUGGAAGAUCUUUCAUAUCUGGCAAAUCAGAAGCUCAAUAGCGAUCCCCAAAAUUGGAGUCUUGCAGCCCUCACUGAGAAGCUUGUUUGCAAAGAGGUAUUCAUCUAAUUUAGCUAUUUGAAAGCCUGGAGAACACUGAAGCAGUCCUUCAUCUUAUUUACACCUAAUAUGAUAUUAGUUCUCAACUGGUAAAUAGUACUAGUAUUUUACCUUCGACCUAGAUAUUUGGUUUAAACUUUCCUUAAGCAGCAAGGCUGAACACUUUCAUUGGGAAAUUUUAUUAAAAGUUGAGUAUUGCAGCUUCCGAAGCCCAAGAGAAUUAGGCUGGGAAACUGGGAGUUGUAUCCUUUAUCCAAGGAGCAACUACAGUAUGCAGCAACAGAUGCUUUCGCUUCAUGGCACCUAUAUCAGGUAACAUUACUAUAUCACCGUCUAUCAUAAAUGUAGAGAGGCUUCGAUAUUGUUUGACUUCAUUGUCAGUCUUUGGUUAUUAUCACUGUUAAAAUUGUUAUUACAUACAGCACUAUCUUUUGCUUCCAUUUUUUACUAAAAAAUAGUUUUUUGUUGCAUUGCAGGUCUUAAAGAACCUCCCUGAUGCAGUAAAGGAUCCGGCAGGUAAAAGUAAAGGUAUUCUAACACAAUGAUUUUCGUUGUUUUAACAUUUUUUUGUCUAAUAUCCUUAUUAAGUUAAAGAUUUGGGGUUUGCCACCAUUCUGUUUUAAUUCAAGGCAGAGUUCUCUUAGUUUCAUAGAGAGAAGCGAGCCAAAGGCCAAGAAACAAAGAGGUUCAGUAUUUGCCUAUUUGGGAAUUCCUUGUUUUUAUUCUUGGCCACAUGGGAAUUCAUUGUUUAUAUGCUGUUGCAUAUGAUUUAAUGUAUACAGCUUAACUAUGCCAUGUUCCAGCAAAGAUGAUUCGCGUCGUCAUUCGGAAUCUAAUAUCUGUGUUUCAGAACAAACAUUUUAUUUUUAUCGAUUUAGCAUGAUCUAUUUAUGUUUAUUUGUUUGUCAAAUACUCCUUGUGCCUCUGCCUUUCAUGUACCUUCAAUGUGCUGAAUGAGUUUAUCCAUGACAUAAUGAGUUCGGGUUUUAGCCCAUGCCUUUGUUGCUUGGAUUUAAAGGUAACUGGUUCUUUUAAAGAUAACUGCACACUUCAACUGAAGUAAAUACGGAUUCAGAAAAACAAAAUCUUUGAUCAAAGCUAACAUGUCCUAAUUUCUGGUCCAUAUGAACCUCCAUUUUCUCUGGUUGUUACUCAAAAAUCUAACAAGCCACAUGCCUAAGCACGUGGCUAAGAGAACAACCAUUGGGACCUUCCUCUUUGGAGCAAUCAUUAGCCGUAUGGCAUUAUUUUCUUCAUUGUUUUUUUCUCCCUUUUGCCCCAUGUCAAAGAAAGCUCGUGCAAUAUCAUCAAAUUUGUAUGUUAAAAAUUUAAAAAAAAAAUCAAGAUUUAAUUUAGUUGAUUUAGAUUAUCAUUUUAAAUGUAUCGAAUCCUUUAAAUUGGCUUUCAUUUUGAAUUACGAAUUUUUUAUUAACAUUUUUGGAUAAUAUUUAAAUGUUUUUAAAUUUUUAAAUUUUCACAAUUCAAAAAAAAAUGAUACUAUGAUUUUGAGUUUUAAAACGAGAAAUAUUUUUUUUUCCAUCUCAUAAAUCUCACCUGUGAUUCAAAUUUAAAACCUUUAAAAUGAAACCUCAGAAUUUUACUUCAAGCAAAAUACAAGAAAAAAUAUAUUUUUUCUUAAAAAAAAAAAUUACAUUACCAGAACAGUGCCAAGCAAAUUGAUUAGUCUAAGUCCUCAGGACUAGGGAUGUAAAUAAUACAUUAGUACUCGCAAGCUAUUUGGGUUCGAUUAGAAGAAAACUCGAAUUCGAUUCGAUUAUUAUAGAAUCGAGUUCGAGCUCAAGUAGCUCGACUUAUCAAUCAAGUUUAAUUCAAAUAUUCUUAUAUCCGAUUCGAGUAGCUUGCGAGCUUAAUCGAGCUUUUAUAUUUAAAUAUAUUUUUAUUAUUUUAAUUAAUAAAAUAUUUCGAAUUCGAGUUCGAACUCAAGCAUAAAUAAUCGAAUUCUUGUCGAUUAUAUAAAUCGAGCUUAUUUUUAUAUAUUAAUCGAGCUUAAUCGAACGAGCUCGAGUAACUCAAAUUCGAUCACGAAUCAAACUCGAGCUUGAAAAAUAAAACUCCAUCAAGUUCGAACCGAAUAUCGAACUGCGAGUUGUGAGUGGAAUUCGAGCUCGAGCUUCUCACUGUAUCGACUCGAUUCGAUUACACCCCUACUCAAGACCAUUUUAAUCAGAUUCAAUGCUUUUUAUGCCAAAAGAAGGAGCAAGGAAUCCACAUGACAUUGAAUUCCUGCUACAGAUAAGGCUCGAAAGAAUUGAAGUUGCAGAUCUGAUGGAUUACCUUUACAUCCUAGAAAAUAUCAAAAACCAGACAUGCAUAUCACCAACACUCCUCUUCAGUACAAUGAAGAUGGUCUAUCUUGUUAUAUAUAAAUGUUAUGGAAUAUUGUCCAAAAGCACUUGUUGAAGAUUAAAAUUAUUAUGAACACAUGCUCGGCUCAAGUGGUAAAAAAAGUAUGUUCUUUUCUUUGUUAUUUGGAUUCAAAUCUGUUGAGAAAUCAUAAAAUAUAAUUUUUCAUAAAUUCAUUAUAUUUAACAUAAAUAAAUUUAUUUGAAUUGAUUCGAAAAAAAAUUAUCAAAUAAAAAUUAAAAAUUUCUUGUCGUUAUAUAUAAAAAAUUAACAUUAUUUAACUUAAUGAUUUUUUAGUACAUUUGAUGAAAUCAAACGACAAUGUUAACAAGUGUUUUUAAACAAUCAUUAAAUCCUUUACUAUAAUACAACAUCGUCACAGUUAACAAAAUCCAAACGUAUGAAGAAUAUAUUAUUAGUUGUGCAUUGAACAUGAACUUAUUAUUAGUUUUAAAUCCAUGGAAGGAGGUGUGCCAAUGAACAAAAAAUAUAAUGUUAUUUAGAGUGAUGAAACUAACCAGGCUUGUUUUUCUUAAAACAUUCGAGUUUAAUUACUAAUCACAGCUUCAUUUUUUUUUUAUUUCCUUCCGAAGUAACAGUGUGAUUCCAUUGUUAAAGCUAAUUAAGGCUUCCAUAGCUCCAACAAUAUCUGAAUUAAUUUUUACUAAUUAUCCUCCACUUUUUCCUAAUUUAAUAAUAAAGCUUUAAUAUCUUUUCCAAAAUCGGAGUUCAUUCAAUCAUUCUUACAAUUAAUAUCCAACAAAUUUUGCAUUUAACUCUAAGUUUAGGGUUUGUGGGAAACACUAAGAAUCCAUUUUGAUGAGUAAUAAAUUUGAUUCGAGUGAGAUUGAAAAUAAUAAUAAAUGUGAGAUUUAGUUAUUAUAAUAGUGAUAUUUAAAUCAAUGAUGAAUGUGUUUGAAUAUGAAUAUAGCGAUGACUUUGAAAUAAAAAUAUAAUAAUAAAUUAUUUAUAUAUUUUUUAAUUUUAUAUAAUGUUUAAAAUUUUAUAAAUUGAAAUAUAUAAAUGAUUUAUUAUAUAAUUAUAAAAAUAUUAUGCGAAAAUCUCUAAAUAAAAAAUAAAAAUAUAAUUAACAAAAAGAAAAAGACAAAGACUAAAUUAUAAGGGUAUUUUGGUUCCUAUAUUAUACAUUGGAGGGUAAAGAAAAAAAGAGAAAUGAUGGUAAAGGCAUAAAGAGAUAAUACGGAGCAGUGCUAUUUACACUUUCAUUUCCUUUUUUUUCAUAUCCCACUAUUAUUAACAUCAAUUUUUUCUUCUCUUCACAUCUCAAACUAAAAUAUUAAUUUAUUAAAAAUCCUAAACACUUCACAUCCCCUCUCUUUUUCUUCAUUCGAAAACUCUAAACUCUUUAGGGAUUAAACCUCAAAUCAAGCCCCAAUCACCUAUAUAAUGUUAGAUAACUUAAAAUCAUAGAUAAAUCAUUUGUUUUUUUUUUCUGUUUUUUUGUUUGAUUUUAUGUUUAAUUUCAAAAUAUUUAAAAUUUUAAGUUUAAAAGUACGAUUUGAGACCACGAUUCGAAUAUUCUAAAAUUGAACUUCUUAAAAUUGUUGAAAGUUUUUGAAAAUAGAUGUUCAAAAAUUUUUUCAACAUACCAAAAUUUCAUUGAAGUUUCCUAAUAAUUGCAAUGUUUUUUAAAAAUAAAUUUUUGGUAUAAUUAAGAAUUUCAAAAAAUGAUUUUUUGGUACAUUAAAUAAGUUUUCAAAAAUUCAUUUUUCAUAACUUACUAAGAAGGGGUAUAAAAGAUAAAAAAAUAAUUAAAUAAUUGAUAUUUAAGUAAUUUUUUUAUAGGUUAAUAUUUUUAGGUGUAUUGAGAGUUUUCUGUGGUGCAAAUAGUCCUAAGUUGUAAUAAAUGAUAAGGAGCAGUCUCAUCUUUACACUAUACAUUGAAGGGCAAAAACGAAAAAAAAAAAAGAUGACAAGGGCAUAAGAGGGAAGAAAGGGUGUAGUGGAGAGGUUGAUUUGAGUGGUGCUAAAAUUACCUCCAUUUUUUCAUUUUACACCCUAUUUUUUAGAAUUUUUUUGUAAAUAAAAUUAUUUAAUUAUUGUUCUCACGAUUUUACGAGGUUUUAUAAUUUUUUGGAAAUGAAUUUAUGAAAAAAUUUAUAGUUUUUUAAAAAUAGAUUUUCAAAAAGUUAUAAAUCUUUUCAAAAAUAAAUUUUUGAAAAAUCAUAAAUCUUUUUGAAAAUUUGACUAUCCUGAAAUUUAAUUUCGAAACGGUUUAUAAUAUUUUGAAAAUUAAUUUUCAAAAAGUCAUAUGAUUUUUUAAAAAUUUAUUUUCAAAAAGGUUUAUGAUUUUUUAAAAAAAUUUAUGUAAAAAAUAAUUAAAUAAUUUUACUUACAAUUUUUUUUUAAAAUUGAGGUAUGAAAAAAAAAAAAAAGAUUGAAUACAUUUAGCAGCACUUUAAUUGAUUUUCCAUCGGAGCCUUAAGUUUCAAUGGCUAUUGGAGGUUUCAGUACGGUGAAAAAAAGACUAAACCGCGCCAUCCUGCACUUACAAUUAAAGCUCUAAAUCAUGUAGUAAUUAAUCAGUGAUCCAAAUGCUGCCUAAAUUUAGAGCAAAAUACCAAACUCUAAGUUUAUGUUUAUGGGAAACAUUUAAUUACUUUUGGCUUUAAGAGGAGGAGGAAGGUGUAGCAUCAUGCUUAUCAUUAUAAGGGUCAAGGUGUUUUUGCCACACUUGAAAACAAAUGUGAAGCAUGUGCUGCGUAGGCCUUCAAUUAUAUUAUGUCUUUUUCAAUUUUCCAUGUCUCUGACAUGUAAUUGUACGAUCACCCUACGACCAUGUGAAAAGAGAAUGACAUCCCAUUCUUCGACCCAAGCAGGUAAAAAAUUUCGAAAUUAAUGGUUUCGAUUUGAAAAUUGGACAUCGGAUCGAAUCAAGUCAGGUGACAUUAAAAAAAAAUCGAGAUUGAGUUUUAAGUAAAUCUGAUCAUAUCCGAUUUGAUAUAUAUAAAAAUAAAUUUUUAAUUAAUUAUUUAAUUUUAUAAUUAUUUUUAUAUAAUUAUUUAUAUAUAUUUAAUUUUAUAUUUAUAUUAAAAAUGAUAUUUUAUUAAUUUUAAAUCGAAUCGAAUCGAAUAUAAUUUUAUACAAUAUCAAAUUAAAUCGAAUUAUGAUAUAAAAAUAAUAAAAAAAUAUCGAAUAAGAUCGAGUUCGAAUUUAUAAUAUUUAAAGUCGAAUCAGGUUCGAAACGAGUAAAAUCUCGUUCCGACCCGAUCCGUUGUCAUCUCGAAAUACAAUCUCUCGAAGUUUGAAUGAUAAGUGCCAACAGGAAAAAGAAACUUAUAAAUUCCUUCUGACAGGUAGUUUAACAAUGGCACUGAUGUUUCAUUCGUUCCUUCAUGCAUUUAGGUUGACACCAUGUUUGUUGGAAAGAAGGGAAAUGGUGAGAAGAAAAAUAAAUGAAGAAAGAAAAAAAAAAAAAGGACGAGAGGGAAAAGUAUCUGAAAUAUACUUUUCUUUUGUAAAAGCAUCUUUUGAGGAAUUCUUUAUUUGAAUUUAAAAAUCAUAUUUUUAAAAUGAAAUAUCAAUUUUUUUUGUUAUUUAAUAUUAAGGUUGAGUUGCAAACCAUUUUUGAAUAAUGCUAAACUAGUAUAAUAUUAAUUUUUUAAUAAUAAUGAUUAAAAUUAAAAAUUUUAAUUUUAAUAACUUCGUCAUCGAAUAAAAAAAAAAAAGACAGAAUGAAUAUAUUCGUAUUUGUUACACAUCAAAGAGCUGAAAGAACAUUUCAACAACAUGCAAAAUUUCAACCUUUCAAGAAAAAGGACGUGCCAGACCGAAGUUGUUGAAAGCGUCCAUAAAUGAGGAACCGACGUCAAAUCAGAAGCUAACUUUCCUUAACAAAUGGACCAAUCAGCUGACCAUUGCUGUUGCCUUUUGCAGUUCCGAACAUUCUCCAUCGAUGAUCUAAUCGGUCCUUGGAUUCAGGCCCAUCACAAUUGAGAACUUUUCUUAGGCAAUAAAUUAAUCUAAUGAGUGGCCCUUAUAAAAUCCGUAAUGCAUCAACCACAACUCCAACAUACGAGGAUUCGAGUGAUUAAAAAAUUUAAUUUUUUUAAAUAAAAUUUAAAUUUUAUGAAUAAAAAAUAAAUAUUAAAAAUAUAUCUUUUUCUUACAAUAUUUGAAUCUAUUUAACUUUAAAUUAAUUGAAGUUUAAAACAAUUAUCGAAUAUCAAAAUAUUUUAAAUUAAAAAAACAAAUCAUCAACUAUAACUAUCAUUUUCAUUUUCAAAAAUGCAAUUAUUAAUAUGCCUUAACCUUCUUGUAUUUUAUUGAUACCGACCUUUGAUUCAAGAUAAAAGCAAAAGAAUAUUUCGUUCGUCCUAAAAUAUUUAUUAUAUAUUAAUUUUGAUAAAAUUAAAAUAAAUUGAUUUUAAUAUGUUUAAUAUCAAAAUUUAAAUUCUUUAAUAAAAUUUAAUUUUUUUAAUUUUUAAUAUUAAAAAAUAAAAAAAUCAUAAAAAUAAUUUUAAAAUAUAAAAAAGUAAGAAUUUUAUAUAGUUAAAAAAAUAAAUAAGAUAUAAUUUUGAAACAUUUCAAAAAAAUAGAUAAAAAAGUAGAUAGAAGGAGUAAUAAUAAUAAUAAUAAUAAUAAUAAUAAAUAUCCAAAACAUUAAAUAUCAAUUCUUAAAAUUAAUUAUAUAAAUUGAUUGAAUUAAAUUUUAAAUUUACACAUGAUUGUUUUUUAAUCGUAUUAUAUUUAUUUGAAAAAUUAAAUUAAAAUUUUAAAUUACUUUUCUAAACUAUUAAUUGAAAAGAUCCAAGUCAUCUCCAUCUCUAUUGAUGUCACCACCAUCCCCUUCCUAAUUCAAAAGACAUUAUUAAUAUAUUAAUUAGGCAUAAUUCCACAUCAUACAAUGAAAAUGAAAAAAAAAAAAUUAAGGGCGGUCUGAAUUCAUGUAACUUGUUUGAAAUGCAACUAAUCUAUAUAAUCCUUAUGCCUCAUAUAUAAUAAUGUAUUGGUUUGAUUUUUUUAUUAAAAAAUUUUCAAUCAUGCAUAAAUUAUUUUUUUCAAAAAUCUCUAUGCUUAUUUUUUGAUAAUACAUAUUUCAAUAAACAAAAAAAUAACAAAUUAAUUUAAGUGAUUAAUACAUCUCAAUUUUGUUUCCAUUUUUUUUAAUUGCCAAGACAUAAUAAGCAAGGGUUAUGGAAUACAGUCUGCCGACAAUUUGCAUGGAGGGAGAGAAAGCAAGAAGGGAGAUGUCUCUUUCAAUUUUCCACUCAGGCAAUUUACAAAUGGAAAAGACAUUUGCAAUUUUGUGUGAGAUUCCCAUUUAUUUUAUUUGCUAAUUAAUUUUGGUCGUCUGCAUAAUGUUGGAAAAUAUCAAAUAUGGAAGCCUACAACUUUUAUGUCAUUAAUUCAUGUUAAUUUUAUUCAUAAAAGGUGUAAUUUUCUAUAUUUUUGCUGGUAAUUAUGCUGAUAAUUCAUCUUUAAUUUGUUAAUUUAAAGAAUUUUGAUGAGGAAUUGAAGUCAUCAAAAAUAUUUUUAAUUUGACUUUCACAUGCCAAUAAUCACCCUAUAACUUAUUAAUAGAAUAUUAAACUCUUAAUUUUAAUAAUUAAAAUUCGACAUUCGAGCGAUAAUUUAAAAUAAAAAGGAUAAUGACUUGAAUUUUUUCAUUAAAUAAAAUGAAAUUUCUUGUUCUUGGAAAAUAAAGAGUGGGUGAGCCCACUAAAUACCAAAACCUCUAAAACUGAUGUUUCUUUUUAGGAUAGUGACUUGUUUUUACUAGUAAAAUAAGUGUGACAUCAACCAUAUUCUUUUUCUUCUUUUCAAAGGUCAAAACCCUUUUUUAUGUAAUUGAAUUUGACGCAAAGAUACCAUGAUUAAUUGGUUGGUAAUAAGCAGCUUUCUCAAAUUUUAUUCUUUUUUCUUUUAUUGUUUCGAUUGAAGGGAAAAGAUCUUCAUUUCUAGCGUUCUAUAAAAGGGACCAAGAGCUGAUCAUGAUAGUUAAAUAGAAUAUAGAUAAAGAUUACAUAUGGGAUAAUAUCACAUGCAUUACAUUGAUUUUUAAAGGAUCGUACAUUGAUGUGUGGAAGUUUAACAAAAGUGAUAUUUUUAUAUGAAAUAAUCGUUUUAUAAAAUUUUUAUAUCAUUUUUUCUAUCAAAUUAUUUUCAUUAAUUUAUUUAUANNNNNNNNNNNNNNNNNNNNNNNNNNNNNNNNNNNNNNNNNNNNNNNNNNNNNNNNNNNNNNNNNNNNNNNNNNNNNNNNNNNNNNNNNNNNNNNNNNNNNNNNNNNNNNNNNNNNNNNNNNNNNNNNNNNNNNNNNNNNNNNNNNNNNNNNNNNNNNNNNNNNNNNNNNNNNNNNNNNNNNNNNNNNNNNNNNNNNNNNNNNNNNNNNNNNNNNNNNNNNNNNNNNNNNNNNNNNNNNNNNNNNNNNNNNNNNNNNNNNNNNNNNNNNNNNNNNNNNNNNNNNNNNNNNNNNNNNNNNNNNNNNNNNNNNNNNNNNNNNNNNNNNNNNNNNNNNNNNNNNNNNNNNNNNNNNNNNNNNNNNNNNNNNNNNNNNNNNNNNNNNNNNNNNNNNNNNNNNNNNNNNNNNNNNNNNNNNNNNNNNNNNNNNNNNNNNNNNNNNNNNNNNNNNNNNNNNNNNNNNNNNNNNNNNNNNNNNNNNNNNNNNNNNNNNNNNNNNNNNNNNNNNNNNNNNNNNNNNNNNNNNNNNNNNNNNNNNNNNNNNNNNNNNNNNNNNNNNNNNNNNNNNNNNNNNNNNNNNNNNNNNNNNNNNNNNNNNNNNNNNNNNNNNNNNNNNNNNNNNNNNNNNNNNNNNNNNNNNNNNNNNNNNNNNNNNNNNNNNNNNNNNNNNNNNNNNNNNNNNNNNNNNNNNNNNNNNNNNNNNNNNNNNNNNNNNNNNNNNNNNNNNNNNNNNNNNNNNNNNNNNNNNNNNNNNNNNNNNNNNNNNNNNNNNNNNNNNNNNNNNNNNNNNNNNNNNNNNNNNNNNNNNNNNNNNNNNNNNNNNNNNNNNNNNNNNNNNNNNNNNNNNNNNNNNNNNNNNNNNNNNNNNNNNNNNNNNNNNNNNNNNNNNNNNNNNNNNNNNNNNNNNNNNNNNNNNNNNNNNNNNNNNNNNNNNNNNNNNNNNNNNNNNNNNNNNNNNNNNNNNNNNNNNNNNNNNNNNNNNNNNNNNNNNNNNNNNNNNNNACGUCGCCCAUCUGUUUACCUACAUAUGGAAGUACAAAGAAAGAAUGAGAUUUGGAUCUUGAAUCUUAAUUUUUUAAGUGAAUUGUUAGGUUUUUUUAACUCAAAUUUAUUUCACUAAAGUUGUUUGGUAACAUUUUUAUUUUGAUAAAUUCGUUUAAGGUUUUUUUUUUAUUGUCUGUAAAUAUGUGAUUAUGUUUAAGGUUAAGAGUAUUGCUUUGUGAGAUACUGAUAAGCUAUUAUUAUACAAGAAAUCAUGUUUAUUGACAUAUUUUUCUAUUAAAAAAUCAACCACUAUCUAUUAAUUUAUCAUUUUUAAAAUGAUUACCAAAUACAUUAUAAAUCAAAUAAAAUUAAUUUAAAAAGAUAAUAAUUGAUGCAACAAUAUAAUUAUAUGCACCCCAUAUGAAAUUGAAAAUAUAUAAAACCAAAAAAUAUGCUUAAUUUUUCUCCAUGAUUUAGAAUAAAAAAUAUGUAAUUUUAUGUUUUUAUUUAGUAAUUGAUUUUCUUGCAUUAAAAUCGGAAUUCAAAUCUUUGCAAAUGAGUAUAAAAUUUUCUUUAUAGCAUGAUUAUAGACAAUUGCAAUAUUCAUUACCACCUGAUAUGUAUGGCAUCUUUUAUUUGAAAUAUGGCUCUGCCUCUGCAUAGAUUAUAAUUCACCAGAGUGUAGGAUAUUAUAUGUCUCUCACCUCAGACGUAUCUCUUUCAAACUGAAUAAAUGAAUUAUGAUGUCUAUUUCUUGCAUCAUCUAUCUUCUAUAACGAUAAACAAUGUGGUUCCGAUUGUAGCAUUAGCUAUUGAGAUAGUAGAAUUUUAUCGUACAGACAUAUUUUAACUGUUCCACUUCCAUUAUUUUAACUAUUUCAAUCAGAUCUGGUCGUAUCUAUGCGGUUGACACACGAAGAAUCCCAAGGCUCCCCCCUUGCAUAAAGUGCUGCAGCCUGAGGAUAUUGUUAUGAAGACAGGCCUAGCUUAUCCCCACACAUCCCACUGCCUUGCCCCUGGAGAUAUAAUGGUAUCACAUAGGCAAAUUAAUUCAGUACAAAAAACCCUUCUUUUUAACUUAAUUGUUAGUUGGUAAACUUCUUAUCUUCUUUAUAGGGACAUCGUCUGAGAGGGGGACCCCAGAUGAUAGUUGAGCUUAGAUGGGAUGCGGCUAUAUGUAACCAACUCAACUGUCUCAGCAAAUGGAUCGCAAUUCUAUCCUGAAUCUCGUGGAGAAGGGUUCCCACAUGUUACAGAUUGAUGUUGACACUUGAGAAAGUGGUCUAAAAUAAACCCGAACUUUUUGUUGACUUUGGUGCUGAACCUGAUGGCCCUUCUCUGGCUCAUGAGAUGAGAAUAUCCAGGUGGUGACUGCACUUCAGAUAUUUGGAUUUAAGCACCCUGAACCAAUUUAGCAGUGAAGAAUCAUCCUUUAUUGUAGUAGGAAAAAAAAUAUCAAUGCAAUUCCCAAUUACAAUGUGUUGAGGCAGGAUCAUCUGGAAAGAUAUAACGUAUGUAUUCAUAAACUGUAGAUCAGCACAUCUAUGUAAAAUUAUAAACAGCUGAAAGUAGUCAAUAAAGAGUCCAAAUUGCAUUAAUGUAUGAUGUAAUUCUCUUUUUUAGCUUUUAGGUAUUGGAAGUGUUAGGAAAGUGGGGUCCAGCCCCAUAUAAUUGGGUUUGGACUAAUCAAAGGCCAUAGGCUUUGGUCUUUCUUUUUAUACAAAGCCCUAGCUACUUAAUAAAAAUAUGUGAGGUUGUUUUAAGGUGAAAAAAAAGAAGGUGGUGCCGAAAAACUAAAAAAAGAAAAGAGAAAAAAGAAGCCAAGAAAAUAGAAAGAAAACGAAGAAGGGAGAGUUGGUUGAACGAAAAUCUAUCUAUAGUCUGAUUGAGUUGAAAUUUUGUCAAUAUGUUUAUGAUUCAAAGUUCUACAUUCUAAACGAUGAAGAUUGGGUUUGAGGCUCUUUAGAAACAAAUUCAAAGUAUAUUUGUUGAGUCACCUAUUUGGUGAGAUUUCUCCAAUUGUCUUUUAAUUGUUGAUUAGCUUUAGUUUUAGUUAGAGAAGAAUUUUGUAUAUGUAUUAUUUGAUAGUGGAGUUUUUUUUCUAGUGGUCCAUGGUUUUUCCCUCCAACAUUUGAGGGUUUGUCACGUAAAUCUUGGUGUGUUUAUUUUUCUGCAUUGUUAAUUAUUGAUUGUUGUCUAAUUACUGUGGGUUUAUUGCGUUAUAUGCUUCUCGUUUUAUAUUUAUUGCUUCAGGCCCAACAAUGGUAUCAAAGCAGUUCUAAGGGUGUUAGGCGAUGUACGCACCAAGGGACAGUGGGCCUACAUUGGAGUCGGAGAGAAUAUCUCGGUCCUAGAGAAGAGCCAUGAAUCCUACAUCGAUUGAGUACUAGAGUUGAUCUUGAGAUAUAAGGGUUCAUACCACCCUCUUCUUGUGAGGUGCCUUUUGUGGGACAAAAUCAUAACGCCAAAGAAGGAUCAGAGCAUAGAUAAUACCUCACAAGGGUGUGGACCUUAGGCUGAUCUGAGACGCUGGAUUAGUGUAUGCCUAGGUCCUAGAGCCUCACGGGCCUAGAGGUUGAGUCUUGGCCUAUGACAAGUGAUAUCAGAGCAAAGGUUAUUUUGAGACAUCGAUAUAAAAGUAGCCCAAGACAAAAGUAAAUUCUAUUUGAGAUCAUGGAGGGUGAUACACGUUUCAUGAUAAAAUUGACAGCAUCAAAUUAUUCAAUUUGAAAGCCUAUAAUGAAAAAGUAUUUAUACUGUAAAGAUUUGUAUGAGCCGGUAUUAGUGAUUCGGCUAAACCAACAGAUAUGAAAGAUGAAAACUGAGAAAAAUUAGGUAAAAAAAUGCUGGCUACAAUUAAAAAAUGGAUUGAUAUCAGCAUGUUCCAUAAUGUAGCAUAGAAGAUAAAUGCCCAUACUAUUUGAAAAAAAUUACCAGCAUUAUAUGAGAGAAAAAUAGAUAUGAAUAAAGUUAUACUUGUUAAAAAGCUUGCAACUUUAUAGUAUAGGGAUGGAUGAUCAAUUAUAAAGCACUUGAGUGAUUUCAAGACAUAUUUAAUCGGAUGACUACUAUAGAGCUUAAGAUGGAUGAUGAAAUGAAGGCGUUGUUUCUUUUAGGGUCAUUGCCAAACAGCUAAAAUACUCUUAUUGUGACUGUUCUUAAUUUAGUUCUUAAUUACAAGGUGACAUUAGAGAUAGUAAAAGAUAGUAUGCUCAAUGAAAAAGUAAGGUGAAAAGAUUUAGACCCUAGGAAUCAAGCUCUGGUCACAGAAAAUAGGGAUAGAAACAUCAACAAAGAUCAGAACUCAAAAGGCCAUAGUAAGUCUAAACAUAGAUCCUAGUCCAUAGAUAAAGUGAAGUAUUUUCAUUAUGGUCAAGAAAAUCAUAUAAAAUGAUACUACAAAAUCUUAAAACAAGAGUAGAAGAUGAGAAAGGCAAGAGUUCAGAUGAUGGCAAUGUUACAGUAGUGAAUUCAGAUAGUGAUUCAAUUACUUUGAUUUGUACGCAUGAUAAUUGUAAUCAUGUUGGUGAUCCCGACAUUGAGUGGAUAGUUGACACAAGAGCGGUAUAUUAUUGUGUUCUUAAGUGGGAGUUAUUUAUAACUUACAAAGCAGAAGAUUUUGGUUACACCAAGAUGAGAAAUAAUAGUGUGUUGUAGAUUGUUGAGAUUAGUGAUAUUAUUAUACAAAUUAGUAUGAGCUGCAUGUUGACUUUGAGGGAUGUUAGAUACAUUUCAAAUAAGCAAAUGAACUUACUUGCUAUUAAUGUCUUUGAUAAGGAAGGAUAUAAGAGUCAACAAAAGAAUGGAUAGUGAAAGCUUCUCAAAGUAUCUAUGGUAGUUGUAAGGGAAAACUAUGCUGCAGAAUGUACAAGACAUGGAUGCAAUUGAAUGGCAACUAGAUAAAUUCCGUUCAGGAUGAUGCUUCAGCAAACUUGUGGCAUAAGAGGCUGGAACACAUCAGCAACAAGGGGAUACAAGUUUUGGUAAGGCAGUCUCUCAUUCUUUUGACCAAAUGUACGUAUCUUGAUUCAUGUGAACUUUGUUUGUUUGGUAAGCAUCGUAGAGUUUCUUUUGGUAAGAGUUCUCAAAGAAAAGAAAAUAGAUUAGAAUUAAUUUAUUCUAAUGUAUGUGGUCCCAUUGAGAUUGAGUCAUUAGGUGGUAAUAGGUAUUUUGUUAUUUUUAUUAAUAAUGCUUCACGUAAGAUUUAGCUGUAUAUGUUGAAAAGUAAAAGCCUGGUAUUAUAGUAUUUUCAAAAAUUUUAUACCAUGGUGAAAAGGAUGAUAGGCUACACUUGAAGUGUAUUCAGACUGAUAAUGAUAGAGAAUACAUAUCCAAAAACUUUGAAGAGUACUGUUCAAAGCAUGAGAUCAGGCAUGCGAUAAUAUAACUUAGAACAUCGCAACAUAAUGUUGUAGCUGAAAGGAUGAACUGCACUAUUGUGAAAAAGGUCAGAUGCAUGUUAAGAAUGAAAAAAUUACUAAAGCCAUUUUAGGGUGAAACAGUCAACACAACUUGUUAUUUGCUUAACAAAUCACCAUCAAUUUUUUUGGGUUUUGACUUUUCAGAAAAAGUGUAGAUAAGGAAAAAUGCUUCAUACUUUCACUUGAAAGUUUUUGGGUGUAAAGUAUUCAUGCAUGUGCCAAAAGAGUAAAGGUUAAAGCUGGAUAGUAAUGCCACACAAUGUGUGUUCGUAGGACAUGGUGAUGAGAAAUUUGGCUAGAGGGUAUGGGAUCUAGUGAAGAGAAAUACAAUCAGAAGUAGAAAUGUGACCUUCCAUGAAAAAAAAUCAUAGCAGAUCUUGAAAAAAAUAAGAAGACUACAUGAGUUACUAUUAAGUGUGAUGUUUCAAUACCAAUAAAGGUUCUACAAAAAAGAGCCAUAGAAGGUGAAAAUGAGUAAAAAAUAAAACUUGAUGAUAUGAAUGAGCCAACUACAGUUAAUGAUAAGCCAAAUACAAUCAAUUUUAAGUAGGGUGAGCAGUUUUUUCAACUAAAAAGUGUUGAUCAGGGAGAGCCACCUUCGACAUUACGUGGUAUAAAGUCUCAGCCUAGGAGAUCUACUAGAUAGCCCAAGCUAUUUACCAAGUAUCCAAGUUCAUAUUUUAUUUUAGUUACUAAUGAAAGAGAGCCAGAGAGCUUCCAAGAUGUGAUGCUAUUCCAAAUAGAGAGCACUAGUUAAAAGCAAUGAAAAAAGAGAUGGAGUUAUUGCCAAGAAAAUGGUACAUAUGAUCUAGUUAAACUUUCAAAAGAGAAAGGGCCAUUAAAAAAUUAAUGAGAGUUUAAGUUGAAAAAAGAGGUGACAAGCUAGUGAAGUAACAAGCUCCAUUGAUGGUGAAAGAUUUUUCUCAUAAAUUAGGCAUCAAUUUUGAUAAGAUCUUCUAUUCAGUUGCAAAGAUGAGUUCUAUUCAAGUGGCAUUGGGAUUAGUAGCUAGUUUGAAUCUUGAGCUUGAACAACUUGAUGUUAAAACUACUUUCUUACAUGGUGACUUACAGAAGGAUAUUUAUAUGAAUCAGCCUAAGGGUUUUGAAGUGAAAGAGAAAGAGCACUUAGUUUGCAAAUUGAAAAAAACUUGUAUGGAUUAAAACAAGCUCUGUGACAGUAGUAUAAAAAGUUUGAUUCUUUUAUGAUGAGCCACAGCUAUAAAAAAAGGGUAGUGGAUCAUUGUGUAUAUGUCAAAAAAGUUUUUGAUGGUAACUUUAUUAUUCUCUUAUUAUUUGCUGAUAAUAUGUUGAUUGUGAAAUAAGAAGCUGGUAUGGUUUACAGGUUAAAAAAACAAUUGUCUAAGUCUUUUAACAUGAAGGAUUUAGGUCAAGCAAAGUAGAUACUCGGUAUGGACAUUAUCCAGGAUAGGAGAGUUGAAAAGCUAUGGUUGUUAUAAAAAAAGUAUGUUGAAUGGGUGCUUAGUAGAUUCAACAUGCAACAUGCUAAAUCAGUUAGCAGUCUACUUAUCAACCAUUUUCAUCUAAGUAACAAAUCUUGUCUGAUAACUAAAGAAGAGCAACUACCUAUAUCUAGUAUUCCUUAUUCUUUUGCAAUCGGUUUUUUGAUGUAUCUUAUAGUUUACAUGCGGCCUGACAUUGUUUACGCAAUUGAUGUAAUAAGCAAAUUUCUUUCUAAUUUGAGAAAGGUUCAUCAGAAAGCAGUAAAAUGAAUUUUUAGAUAUUUAAGGGACACUUCAAAAAUAUGCUUAAGUUAUGGAGUUUAACAACCAGUUCUAAAAGGGUUUACUGAUGCUGACAUAACAGGUAAUCAUAAUGGUAAGAAAUCUACUUCAAGGUAUUUGUUCACUUUUACAAGAUGAGAUAUAUCUUGGUAGUCUAAGUUACAAAAGUGUGUUGCUUUAUCAUCUACAAAGGCUGAGUAUAUUUCAGCAAUCGAAGCAGGUAAAGAAAUGCUUUAGAGGAAAUAUUUUUUUUUUGAAUUAAGGUUGAAUCGAAAAGAGUAUGUGAUAUUUUGUGAUAGCCAAAAUGCUUGAGAUUUGAGUAUGAAUGCCAUGUACCAUACUAAAAUGAAGCACAUUUAGAUAUCAUUAGUACGUUCAGUGAUUGAGGAACAACUAAUACUAUUGAAGAAAGUUCAUACUAAUGAAAAUGUAACAGAUAUGUUGAUUAAGACACUUGCCAAGGAUAAGCUUAAGCUCUGCACUAACUUGACCAAAAUGAGUUCCUUGGCUAAGGUAAAUUCUAAAUGAAACUACUAUAGUGAUGAAUCUCCUCCUAAUGGGGCUAAAGGGGGAGAUUGUUAGAAAAGUGGGGUCCAGCCCCAUGUAAUUGGGUUUGGACUAAUUAAAGGCCAUAGGCCUCGAUCUUUCUUUUUACACAGAGCCCUAACUACUUAAUAAAAAGAGGUGAGGCUGUUUUAAGGUGAAAAAAAAAAUGGUGUCGAAAAACCCAACAAAAAAAAAAAGAGAAAAAAGAAGCUAAGAAGAUAGAAAGAAAAGGAAAAAGGGAGAGUUGGUUGAACGAAAAUCGAUCUAUGAUCCAAUUAAGCUGAAACUUUGUCAGCAGGUUUAUAAUUCAAAGUUUUACAUUCUAAAUGGUGAAAAUCGAAUUUGAAGCUCUCUAGAAACAAAUCCAAAGUAUAUUUGUUGAGUUAACUAUUUAGUGAGAUUUCUCCAGUUGUCUCUCUAGUUGUUGAUUAGCUUUAGUUUUAGCUAGAUAAGAACUUUGUAUAUCCAUUAUUUGAUAGUGAAGAUUUUUUUCUUAUGGUCCAUGAUUUUUUCCUCUACAUUGAAAGGUUUUUCAAUGUAAAUUUUUGUGUGCUUUAUUUUUUUUGCAUUAUUGAUUGUUGAUUGUUAUCUAUUACUGUGGGUUUAUUGCAAUAUAUUGCUUCUGCAUUAUUGUAUUUAUUGCUUCAGGCCCAACAAGUGGCAUUAGAGCCAACUCUAGAGGUACUAGCUAUGUGCCAUCAAGGAUGGUAGACCCUUGUUUGAGUGGGAGUGGAUGUCAUGGUCCUAGAGAGAAGCCAUAAAUCCCACAUCAGUUGGGUACUAGAGUUGAUCUUGGGAUAUAAGGGUUUACAUCACCCUCUUCUUGUGAGGUAUCUUUUGUGGGACAAAAUCGUGAGGCCAAAAAAGGGCUAAAGUGGACAAUUUCUCAUAAGGGUGUGGAUCUUCGGCUGAUUUGAGAUGUCGAAUAAGUGCAUACCUGGGUUUUAGAGUAAUGCGGGCCUAAAGGUUGAGUCUCGACUUGUGACAGGAAGAUUGCUUUUAAAAUAAAAUUAUGGUAAUAUCAUUUUAAAAUCUGAUAUAUAACAAUUUGUUAUAUAUAAAAGUGAUAGAAAUUCCAUAGGUAGACUUUGAAAGAACAAGGUACCUAUUGCAGAAAUCCUAAUUGAUAAGAUGUUAGACUAUUAAAGAAACUAAUUAUGGCUUCUUGAUUUGCCUAAGAAAACAUAUAAUAAUAGAACAACAUGACCCCAAUUGAAAACACAAUACCUGCUUCUACCACAAACCAUUAAAUGCUAUCUCUAUGAAUGAACCAUCUUCCAAUCAUAACAAUUUCAUUGCCUAUGAAGGAAAAUGAGAUCUCUAUCAGAAGAGGAACAUCAUUCUUUUUUGAUUAAUCACUUUUUCGCUGACCUUCAACUUUCUUCAAACCAACCCAAUUUUGAUAUGAAAUAUAGAAGCUAUAUAAGGAAAGAAAUAACAACCCCCAAAAAAACAUUAAGUUCCCAUUUGCAAAGUCCUGGUCAUUGCUCUCAUAAACUAUAGUAAGAUUAGUUGCCAAGAACAAUAAAUGGUGCCAAUAGAGGUUGGCAAAUGAUUUUUCCAUUUCUAGGCAAUUACAAAUGAUGAAGAAGUAGGGCGGUACUGAUAGAAAAGCUACCAGCAAUGUUAAAUGGUAUGAAAGGAAAAGUUCACAAAUGAGGACCACUGAGAGUAGACCAGAGAGCCCAUACAUACAUAUUAGACACCAUUUGAGCCCAAAAGCUUAAGCUAUUAGGUUCUUGGGUUCUUCAUGCAUAUAUAAGACAUUUCAUUCAGAUUUUCUAAUGAUGUGAGAUUCUUUACUCACAUGUGAACCAUAUCCCAACAAUCUCUCUCGUUCACUUGUGAGUUCUGAUCAAGUCCUACCUUUACUCUCCCGUGCGAGUAAGUCUUAUCAACACCUCCAUAGGGCUAAGCAACCUCACAUCUCUAGUGCUUUUUUUUGGAUAGGCCACAACACUCAACCUUACUACCUAGGUUGUCUUAUUGCUCAUUCAAGCUUACACUCUAGGUUAACUCAACAUAUCACCCACUUGGCCAGCAACACUAUUGGGACUCGAACCCGUAACUUCUCAAACCCAUCAUAAUUUUAGCUUUGAUACUACUUGUUGGGAAGAUAAACCAUAUUUGGAGCUUAUGAGAGCACAUCAGAGAGCCCAUACAUACAUGUUGGAUACCACUUGAGUCCAAAAGCUUAAGCUAUUAGGUUCUUGGGUCCUUCAUUCAUAUAUAGGACAUCUCAUUUAGAUUUUCUAAUGAUAUGAGAUUCUUUACUCACAUGUGAAUCAUAUCCCAACACAUAUAGCAAACCAUGGCUAAAAGCAAGGAAAGCUCUGUUCCAUGGAAAGUUGGCCAUGGUUUUGUUAUCUUUGGUAUAGAAAAUGAACAAUUAAUUUGAUAGAAAGAAUUGAGAAAAAUGAAGAUGAUGGGGCUUUGUUUGCUUCAAAUCGAGAUAAGUUCAUAUCUCGGAUGACUUCAUUUACUAGCAUUUUGAGUCAACGGGAAGGUAUGAACAAGUUGGAUCAAGAUUAAGACCACUUGACAUGUGACAGCUGCCAUGGUCAUUUUUAAAGGAAGUGAGUCAGUGAAUUAAACUAUAUUGGCUUGGUUUUUUUCCUUUGAUUUCAUUUAUUUUUUUCAUUUUCCACCGAUAUUUUCAAAGUAGGGCCCCAUGCUGAAUAAAUUUAACAUAACACUAUUUUUUUUUCCAAUAGUCACACUAUCCCUUAAUUUUAACUUUCCCAAAAUUUCUAUAAGGAUUACUACGAGAUGAUUCUGAUAAUUAAAAAGUAAUUAAAUUUUAAAUGCAUUUAGUUGAUGCAGGGGAUCUUAAAAUCUUAAAUGCAUUCAAUUGAUGCAGGGGAUUUUAAAAUCGUACGAAAAAAAUUAUAUUUAGACAAAUCAUGAGAUAAGUGAACCGUCUUAACCAAAAAAAAAAUGGUAGAUGGGUAGAAAUAUAUAUUUUUUAUUUUAAGAAAAAUUGAAACCCUUCCCUUUGAGUAGGCGAUUUAUGCCUACCAUUGAGACAUGCUCAAGUGAGCAGUUGUUUCUCAUAUAAAAAUAUAAAUCACAAUUUGAAGCUGAUUUAAUAAAAUUUCUACCAUCUAAUCAUUAGCACUUCAGCAUUAUUACCCAUUUGUGUUGAAUUCUUUUCUGCCUUUGCAAAACAGAUAUUUCAUUUAGUAUUUUCAGACAUUUCUAAGUCAAACUGAAAUAUUUUCAUAUAUACAAAAGUGGAAGUCGUCAAAUUGCCUGACUUUGAAUCUUAAUCAACUUCAGAAUAGUUUUGUAAGCUUCCCCCCUUUUUACUAACAAUUGCCUCUUCAAACAACCUAUAUCCCUCUUCACAACCUAUAUCCCUCUUCACAACAUUUAUUUCUUGCUUGACCACCUCAAUUCUAUCUCUCAGCUGCAAAUCUUUCUUCCUGUCUUCAUCACAGCCUUUUCCAUCAGCUGUUUAACAAAAUGAAAGCAUUGAUAAUCAGCAUGGUGAGUCACAAUGAUCUCCUACUUUCUUUUGGGCUGGCAUAUUGACCUCUUUCAAGAGCUUCUUCUCCAUGGCCAUGUUAUUGGUUCCAUGACGCAUUCGAAAACACAAGAUCUGGGUCAAAUUUUAGCCGUCCCGUAAGGACCCCAAAGCAGGAAAGAAGAUAACGGAACCAAUUGACCAAUUAAGUCUAGGAUUCAUCCUUACGUGGAUAUUAAUCUUCUCUUCUGUAUUGAUACUCUCUCCUUAUACGCAUUAUUUGCAAAAGUGAGCUUGUCUAGGUCUCGUUUAGAGAAGCCACUUUCUUCCCAUUAUCGGUUCACCUAUUUCUGAAACACUUCUCUCUAUAUUCUAAAUGGUAUAAUUGGGAAAAUGCCUGGCGUUCAUCAAACCGUUCAUAAUGUCCAAAAAAACUAGGUCACUUGUCUUUAGUUUCUAACAAAUUUUGCAGAAAUUAAGAUUUAAUAAAAAAAAACUAUGGUGUACUUUAAUUAUAGUUUCACUUAGUUUUUCUUGCCUUAUUCUUCUUGUUCUUGAAUCAUUAUAAGCGACAUAUACAUUAAGAACUGAACUCAAAAUACGAAUAUCUAUGGUUUCAUUCAUAUAGUAACCCUUAAAAAGUAACAUUUAAAUGCAACAGGUCUAAAUUUUAAAAUUGCAACGUUGCAAUGUCUUUUUAUUUAUUUUUUAUCUCAUUUUGCAACUUUAGAUAAUCUGAAUAUAUAUCUCAAAAUUUACAUCAUAAUAUUGGCAGCCAUGCGCACGUCACGUGAGUUCAACUCAAAGUAACAAGGGUACAUACAAUCAGAUUUUAGUAGAGAUCUUUAAGUCAUAAUGCUUCUCUUGUAAAAAAAAAAAAGAAAUCAUAGCCAAGUUUGCUUUUAAUUGUUUGAAUUGUUAUAAUGCAAUUGAAUUGAUAUAAUUAAGCCUAGUUGUCUCCUUUAUCUUCUUUGUGAUUCAAAAUAAGUCUUUAUUCAUAUUUGACAUCAGCUUCAUAACCAUAUCACUAUGUUUUAUUUCAAAUUAUCAGAUCUAUUUAUGCUUCAAGCUAACUAUAGUUUAAUUCAAACCCCACCAACAAUUUUUUAUCAAUUCUUUUUGAGUUAGUCAUUUAUCAAAAUUGUUCAAUGCAUCAUGAAACAUACAAGCAAAAUAAUCACAUAACUAAUAAAACGAGAUAUUUACCAAUUUUUAAUUCCGAUUAACAACUAUCAUGUUUAUCUCGUUUCUUAUGGAAUAGGAAUCAUUGCAAUUUCAUUUUUUUAAACAAAUUUCAUAAACCUAUAUAAAAAUUUGACAAUAUGAGAAUUAAAUUGAAAAAAUACCUAUAUGUAUAAGUGUAAGAAAUACAUGAAUAUAACAUUGUCCAUAAAAAAAUUAUAUAAAAAUGUGUUUUGUAGCUCGACAACAUCUAUUUCAACAAUUGAUUUUAGAUUAAUUUUUGGUAUAAAGAAACGCCCAAACUUAGGGGCUAAGAUAAGAGAAAUUGUGCCAGACAAAUAAUACAAUGAAAUGAAGUUAUUGCUUUCUUGUUUUCGAAUUAAUUAAUGGAGCUCUUGUUAUGUAACUUCUUGUUUUAGGCAAGAAAAUGUGCCUAAACGUUAUUUUAUAACUUUGGGCUUGAUCAAAAUGUAAGUCUUAACCUUGUCUUGGUCACCUAUAAUUUUUUUUUUUUAAUAUUAGAGCCCAGUCCAAGCCUUACUGGAGUUGAUCUAAUAACACAGCUCUACAAGUGGCACAACAAAAGUUGGACCCAUUGAGUUAAAUUGCGUUCUAUUGUUUGAAUUGCUCUUGAUCAAAAUUUAAUUUUUAGCAAUUUUUUAUAUAGGAAAAAAAAUUAUGAAUUCAUUUUUUAAAAAAUUUGGUUUACCUUACUCUAAAAAAAAUAUGUUACUUUAGUAAUUUUGAUAACAGAAUAAAAAACUCUAUUGUCUGUGAUAAUUUUUCAAACAUUAUUUAGGUUUUAUUUAGUUUUUUGCAUGCUAUAUUAAGCUAUAAGACAAAAUAUAAUCCUUUUAAUUUCAUCUUAAAUUUCAAACCUAAUACUUUCAAGAUAAAAUCUUAAACUUAAAGAAUUCGGAGGAUCCCUUACUUUUAUUAGUUCAGGAUCAAAUUUUUAUUUUAAAAUAAUAUUAAUUAUUUGAACUUAAAUAUGUGUGUAUACAUAUACAUAUAAAUUUAUGCAUGAAGAUGUAAAUUUUAUCGUUUUUUAAAUUUUCAUUUUAAGACUUUUUGUAGAAAAUUUUUUUUAACUAUUCAAUUUAAUUUAGUAAAAAAAAAAAGCUAAAUUGAUAUACUUUAGUAGAUUUUCUUCUAAACAAAUCUAAAUUUCAUUUUUUAUUGAGUUAUUGAUUUUUUUUAUUUCUUUUUUAAAGCAAAUUCCAAGGAAAAUAAAAGGCAAGGCCUAAUUGAAUGAAAAUUGUCUUUCAAUGAUAUAUUUAAUUUUUAAAACAAUACAAAUUAUUUGAAUUUAAGGGUAUAUAUUUUUUAUUUACGUGUAAAGAUAUAAAUAUACAUAAAACACAACAUUAAUUAGAAAAAGAAAAGUAAUCUUGUAAGGGGCUAAUUACUUGACACUCGUCAAGCAAUUAUUGAAAGAAACUUUCAAAAAGGAAAAUAAAGUUGCUUGUCUCAUUGAAGAUACUAUUGAAGUCCACAUCACUACAGACUACUCCUCCAAGUUAUUUCCCAUUAAUUUCCAUUCCGCGUAUGAAUUUCUUGGAUCAGACAAAAUGAUUUAAUGAACCUUUUUCUUGGUUGGUUCCUAGUCAUAGUAACAGCGCCCCCCCCCCCCCUCCCCCCUCCCAAAAAAAAAAUUGAAUACUAACUAUUAGUAACGAUCCUUACAGUGUAAUAUUCAGAUGGAUGUGCUAAGUUUCCAAAACCCAUUUUCUCCAUUGCAUUUUUUUCUUUGACUUCCCUUGGCUGCCAAAGGUUUCUCUGAAGUAUCUUCUUCAAUUUUUUUAAUUUCUUUUUUAAAGCAAAUUCUAAGAAAAACAAAAGGCAAGACCUAAUUGAAUGAAAAUUGUCUAACAAUGAUAUCUUUAAUUUUUAAAAUAAUAUAAAUUAUUUGAAUUUAAGUUUAUAUAUUUUCUUAUUUAUGUAUGAAGAUAUAAAUAUAUAUAUCAAGUACAAUAUUAAUUAAAAAAAAAAGAAAAGUAGUCUUUCAAAGAGCUAAUUAUUUGACACUCAUCAAGCAAUUAAUAAUAUUUUAUAAUUUUUGUAAUUCUUUUAGAAAAAUAUUUUUUACAAAGUAUUUAUAUUAAUUUUUAAAAUUUUUUUGUAAUUUUUUACCCAAAAGCUUUUUUUUAUCUAAAAGUUUAUUUAAACAAUUUAGUUUUACCUUUAUUUUUAAUUAAUAUAAAACAAUUAUUAAACAUCCAAUCAUAAGAUGACAAAUGUCGUCAAAUUGGAUGCCUUACAAAUAAUAAUAAAUUUGGAGACUAUUUUUUUAUUUAAAGGUACAAGGUUCUUGAAUUCUACCAAGUUCAUCCUUCUCUAGAUCGAUUUUAAAUAGAUUUAUUUAUGUUGGGUCUAACAAAUUCAUGAGAAGUUAUCCUUUCAUAGCCUUUCAGUGGAUUCAAACCUAGAUAACAAAAAGAAAACGCAACUUGUUUGCCAUUGAAAUUAACCAUAUGUUAAUAGAUUUGGGAACUAUUUGAAAUAAUAAUAAUAGAUUUAUUAAAUUUUAAAAUAAAAACUAAUUGAAGGGUAAUUAUAAAGCAACAUGUGUCAUAAAAUGGAAACUUCAAUUGAGCAAUUAUUUACUGUUUCAAUUAGGGGAUAACUUUGUAUUAUGGCAUAGAUUUUAGAAUAUGUAAAAUAAUAAUAUAUAUAAAUAUUUGUCAACACUAAUGGAGUUCAAAUUUUAGAGAUUUAAGAUAGUAUCGAGUCUAGUAAUUAGUAGCUUUUACCCUUUAUGAAAAAUCAAAUAUUAAAAUUUAAAAGAUUAUCUCUAUAUAUGGUUGAUAAUGAUGAGCACUUGUUGUAAUAAUAAAAGUAAGGUUUUAAAAUUUACAAAUUUAAGUUCAAAUUGCACCACAUAUUCAUUUAAUUUAAUUUUAUAUUGGUUUUGCUUAUUAAUUUAUUUUUUUCCGUAGAAUGAGCAUAAUUUAUAGAGGAAGAGAGAGGAGAUCUUAGUUUCAAAAUCAAGAUUUCUAUAUUAUUCUAAAAAUUCUUUAAUCACUAAAUCAAGAAGUUGAGGAUAAAGUAUUAUGUAAUAUAUUAUUUAAAUUCAAACAAAAUAUUACACACACUUUGUAAUAAUAAUGUUAAUGUUUAUGUAAUUAGAUAAUAUAUAUAUAUAUAUAUAUAUAGGGGAGGAAUCAACUUACACUAGUGAUUUCUAUAUUACACAAAAUAUUACACACACUUUUUAUUAACAAUUGAUUUCAAUAGAUCCAAGGGAUGAGAGACAUAAAAUGAAAAAAAAAAAGUUUUACAUUUGUUUUUAAUUAUUGAUUUUAAUAGAUCUAUGGAAUGAGAGACACAAGUGAAAAAGAAAUGCUUAACCUCAUCCCUUAAAUUUAUUGAAAUAGAUAGUAAAAAAAUAUAUAAAACUUUUUUGGUGUAACUUAAUUCUUCUCCAUCCAUAUAUAUAUAUAUAUAUAUAUAUAUAUAUAAUUGAUGGUCUAUGCUUUAUAAAUUCUAAACCAACAAUAACAUAGAUAUGUAGUGCUAUCAUGUUUUUAACAUCUUAAACUAAAACUUUUAAAUUAAUUGAAUAUUUUUCCUCAGAAAAAAAAAAGAAUAUUUUCAACCAUAUGCAUUUUAAGAUAAGAAAUACAUACAUAUAUAUAUAUAUCCUUUUAACAAAAAUUCAAAAAUAUAAAAAAAAACUUAAAUUUGGUAGACCAUGUAAUAUACCAUAAUUAACAUUGAUACUUUUAUAGAUCACAAUGCAAAUAUAUAAUAUAAUUAUAUAUUAUUAGUAAAAAAACUUAUAUAUUAUUAGUAAAAAUAUAGGUAUUUUUAGUAAAAAAAUUUUAAAAUUUUUUUACUAUUAAAUAAGUAUUCAUCAAAUUAAAAUUAUAAAUGAUAUAUAUAUAUAUAUUUUACUUAUUAUUGAUUUUUCAAUGAACUCUAUCAAUCAAUUGAUUUUUACUAGCAAACCGUGGCUAAAAGCAAGGAAAGCUCUGUUGCAGGGAGAGUUGGCCAUGGUUUUGUCGUCUUUGGUAUAGAAAAUGAACAAUUAAUCUGAUGGAAAGAAAUGAGAAAAAUGAAGAUGAUGGGUCCUUGUUUGCUUCAAAUAGAGAUUAGUUCAUAUCUCGGAUGACUUCAUUUACUAGCAUUUUCAGUCAACGGGAAGGUAUGAACAAGUUGGAUCAAGAUUAAGACCACUUGACAUGUGACAGCUGCCAUGGUCAUUUUUGAAGGAAGUGAUUCAGUGAAUAAACAUAUUGGCUUGGUUUUUCUCCUUUGAUUUGAUUUAUUUUUUCCCAUUUCCCACCGAUAUUUUCAAAAGUAGGCCUCAUGCUGAAUAAAUUUAAGAUAACACUAUUUUUUCCCAAUAGUCCACUAUCCCUCAAUUUUAACUUUCGCAAAAUUCCUACAAGGAUUACUAUGAGAUGAUUCUGAUAAUUAAAAAGUAAUUAAAUCUUAAAUGCAUUAGUUGAUGCAGGGGAUUUAAAUCGUAUGAAAAAAAUUAUAUUUAGACAAAACAUGAGAGAUAAGUGGACCGUCUUAAACAAAAUAAAAAAAUGGUGGAUGGGUUGAAAAUAUAAUUAUUUAUUUUAAGAAAAAUUGGAACCCCUCCCUUUGAGUGGGCGAUUUACGCCUACCAUUGAAUCAUGCUCAAGUGUGCAGUCGCUUUGAGUGGGCGAUUUAUUGCUGGUUUUGGGAUGAAAUAAUUCCUAUGAAUAUUCCAGUGCAACUCCCAUAUCUGUUUACAGAGCUCAAGAAAAUGUAAUAAAUAAAAAAAGAAACUUAAGAUAUAAUUAUUAUCAUUAUUUAUAUUGGGAAUUGAGUGGUUUCAACUCAGCUUUUUAAACAAAAUAAAAAGCACGCUUCAAUUAUUAAAUCAAAUAUUUGGUUGGAUUAAUUUCUAAUUUUUUAUCAUUUAAAAAAUCUUUAAUUGUUUGAUUAUCAAUUCUAAUAAUAGAAUUUUCAGUUAUUAAAUAAAUAUGAAAUUUAAUUACUGUAUUUUUUAUAGCAAAUAAUUUUUUUUCAAAUAUAAUAUACUUUAAUUUAUUGGGUUUAAAAUUUCCUAAAUUAUAAUCAUAAAUUAAUUCUUAAUCAUGUACCUUUAGUUUAAGUAUACAUCCUAAAUGUUGGUAUGAGGCGUGUGUUUCGAGAAUAAGCAAUUCUCCUAAUUUAGGAAGAUAUACAUUAGGUAUAAAUUUAAGAUCUGAUUUUAUUUGCUUAAUAAUAUCAUAAUCAUUUUUUAUCCAAGAAAAAGGUGUAUCCUUUUUUAGUUUUUCUUGUAAAACUUUCUCAUCUUUAGAAGAUUCUUAAUGAAUUGCUUUACAAAAUUAAAAAGUCAUAGAAAACUUUGAAGUUGUUUUUUAUCUUUUAGUUUUUCUAAAAUUCAUUAAUUUUUAUUAUAAUAAUGGCCUUGUAAAGUAAGACUUUCUAAAAUAAAUUUAAGUUUAAGAACUCUAUAUUAGCUUUUUCAAGCUCUAUCUUUCUAGAUUUUAAUAUUAUAUCAUGUUUUAUAAAUUUUUGAGCUAUGAGAUUUAAGUGUUUCCUGUGCUUAUUUAAUGUUUCAAAAAAUAUAAGUAUAUCAUCAAUAUAUACUACAUAAAAAUCUUUAUAUUUUUCAAAAAUUGUAUCCAUCCAUCUUUAAAAGAUUUGUGGAGCAUUACAAAAGCAUUACAAAAUUCGAAAGGCAUAACUCUCCAUUGAUAAUGGCUUUUAUGAGCACUGAAAGCUGUUGAAAAUUUUUUACUUUUUAGUUAACAUUAUUUGCCAAAAUUAAAAAAAUUAGUAAAAUAUUUAACAUUUUUUGCUAAAUUUAUUAGUACAUCUUUUCUUGGAAUAAAAUAACCAUAAAAUAUUAAAUGUUGAUUAAGCCUGUUAUAGUUUAUUACAUUAUGGCUUUUCCUCUUUUUUGCUUAGCAUGAUUUCUUUCCAUAAAUACUGGGCUUGAAUGUGGACUAGUAGUGAGCUUUAAAUUCCAUUUUGUAAAAGCUCAUUAAUUUGUAUAUCAAAUUUGUCUAUAUUUUGUUUAGUAUAGAUAAUUGGUUUUACUCUAAUUAUUUUCUUUGAAUCAAGAAUUUUUAAACUAAGACUUCUAGACUAUAAUUUUAAUUGUUCAUCACUUAAGCUUUCUUUUAAGAUUUUAUAUAACCAGUGUGUUUCACUUAUUGUUUUAAUUUCAAUUUGCUUGGUUUCAGAUAGGAAAUCAUAGUCACAUAUAUGUUUAUGAUUUUUUACUAGUGGUAGUUUAUAGCUUUUUUAUUUAUAGGAAAUACAAUAUUAUUAGGAUUUAAACAGUAAAGUAAAUAAUUGUAUAUAAAAUUAUUUUCUAAUAACAUAUCACCAGGCAUAAAAGGAAAAUAUAAAAUUUUUGGAAUUCUGAAUUUUUUACUUUAUAUCUUAUUAUAGUUUCUUUUCCAUUAAUUCCUAUUACUGCUAUAGAAUGUUUAAUUGGCUCCUAUUUUUCCAAUGGUAAAGCAUUACUUCUACAAUCACAUAUAGUAACUCCAGUAUCUAUUAAAACAUUUAAAAAGUAUCAUUUAUACUGUUUAAAUUUAAAUUUUGCUUCAACAUAAUUGUACUGCCUUUUUGGUUGAUUUUUUGAAAAUGUAAUAACUUCAUCAUUACCUAUUUUUUAUUGGUUGAUUAAGCUAGACUUCGAAUAUCAUCUCUUCUAGUAUUUUCAAAAGAAAUUAAAUUUAAAACAGAGUUUACUGAAUUGUAAACAUAGUUUACAUGUCUUUGACUAAUAGUAUUGCCAAGAAAUAUAGGGAUAUUUAUAUUUUUUUUACCUGUUGAUUAAGGUUGAAAAUGAAAAGAUGGUCUGUAUGAUUGUUCACUAGCAAUACUCUCAGCAUCUUUAUUAUCUCUAUUUGAGAAUAAAGGUAUGGAAGAGGAUGACGGUAGAACUAGAUUGUUACUAGAACUACUUUCUUCAUGAUUUUUAAAAUAAAGGUUAUUUCCUUAUGCAAAAAAUUCAAUGGGUUUUAUUAUUUUAUCAGAAGAAAUAGGUUUUGUAAUUUCCUCUAAUAACCAUCCAAUUGGUACUUAUAGAUCUCUAAGAUUUAUUAGUCUUGGUUUAAUUUUUGAAUCAAAAGGUUUGGGUUCAAAUAUUUCAAUAAUAUUAGAAUUUAUUUCUUUAAGAGAUGUGAAAGUAUGAUUAGUAAAUUCACUAAUAGCUAUCAGUUUAUAGACAGAUCAUGAGCCACAUUUCUAAUUUUUGGCUUUUUUGUCAUUAUUUUAAGUCUAAGGCAAUCUUUUAUUAAUGGGUCAUUAGUAGAAAUAAAAUAGUUUGGUUUUACUUUAAACCAAAUAGCUCCUGAUAUAAUAUUUGAUUGUAUUCCUCCUAUUAGUGCUUUAAUAGGAUUUUCAAAUCUUUUAUCUACUAAUAUUGCUAUUAUUGGUAUAUCAUUACCAACUUUGAGUAAUGCUUUUAUAGUUAUCAUAAUUAUUCCUAAAUGUAUAUAUCUCACUUUAGGAUAUUUUUGUUUAAUUUUCCUAAUUUUUUAUUUAGUGAAUAAAAAAAUAUUUAUAGAUCUUUGAUUAGAAUCAGGAGCUAUGUUAUUUCCACUAAAAUUUUCUAUCUGUCUAUGUGUCCAUGGUUUGAACUUUGAAAAGAUAGAAAGUUUAUAUAUUUCAUCUUUCUUUAAUGAUUGCAGUUUUCUAACAAUUCAUCUAAAAUAGUAAUAUCGUGUCCAAGACAUCACUUAAUUUUGUCACUUGCUAUUCUUCAGUAGGUAUAUCUUUAGUUUCAGAACUAAGUUGAUUCUUAGCUUCUGAUAUAGAAUUACUACUAGAAUUGAUUAUGAAAAUAUACUCAUCAUCAUUUGAAUCAAAAUUUGUUUUAGAAAUUAAUUCAUAAAUAAUUUUUUCUUCAGAAAACUUCUUUUCUAAAACAAUUUUCUAAAUCUCAUUUUUCAAGAGUUUUGAUAAAUUUUUUAACAUUUUUUCCUUUGUUAGGACAUUGGGGUGCAAUAUGACAUUUUUCAUCACAAAUAAAACAUUUGCAUUUGGAUUUGUUUUUAGAAGUUUUUCUUCUCACAUAUUUUUUUCUUUUUGUCAAAUUUAUGCUUUUUAGGCUCUAUUUGACCUAUUUAUAUCUUCUUUUCUUUUUGAAUUUUUUAGAAUAGGUUUUAGAUUAAGAUUUACAUUCAAAUUCGUAUUCAUUUUCUAAUAUUUUUGUGCAUUGUUUAUUACUUAAUCUACUUUUCACUUGCUUUACAAGCUUUGUCUUAAGGCAAUGUUCUAUAAUUUGUUUAGAAGCAAAAUAAACUCUAUUUCCUAUAGAAUCUAAAUAAUCUCUAUUUUCUACUAUAGGGUUAUGGGGUUCCAAAUAUUUGGGAUAUUGUUGAUUAUAGAGUUCAUCCAACGAUGAUGAUAAUUUAUGAAAAUAUUAUUCUUUCCAAAAUUUUGAAUGUAAUUCAUCCAAUUUUUGGUAUUCAUGAAAAAACAUUUUAGAAAAUUCUUUUAAUUGUCUUAUAUCACUUAAUUUUAUCUUGGUUAAUAACUAGUUUCACUGUUUUGAUCAGUUGGUUCCAUUCUUCCAUAAAAUUCAUUUUGUAAGAUUUUUUAAAAAAUUUGGUAUAGUUGUAAUGAGCUCUUUUUACUUAUGAAUUUUCCCAUUUUUGCCAAAAUUGCAAAGCAUCCCUUUGAAAUGUUCCACAAAAAUAAUUUAGAAAAAAAUUUUUAGACCAAGUGUCUUUAUUAGUUGUUUGCUACAAUAGUCACAGAUUGUGCCCAAUCUUCUAUAGUUUUUCUAUAGUCAUUUAUGGAGAUUUUUGAAAGAUCUAAAUACAUACCUCAUUGAGCUAUAUUUCUUUUAUUUAAAGAUUCUAUAAAAGUAAAUUGUGGUAUAGGUUUUGUAAUAGAUUCAGAAGAUGUUCGAAUUUUAUUUUAUUUCAUCUUUAUAAUCAUAUUCUGUUCUAUUUUCAAACCUACUUUGAUCAUCUAUUUCUUGGUUAGAAAUUUCUUCUACUUUUCUUUUUUCCUUAUCAACUUUUUGUUGAUCAAGAUCCAUAGGUGUAGGUCUAGUAUUGAUAUCUCCAUCUACUUUUUCAGAGGAUGAAGAUUAUGUGCUACUAUAUUAUUUUUUUAGUUCUGUGUCAGUAUUAAGAUUUUGUCUUUGUCUUUGUCUUCUUCCUUUGAACUACUUUCAUCGGUAGUAUCAUAAUUAAAUAUAUGAUAAUAAUUAAAUUUUUUAAAUGGUUCUAUAUGUGUUUCAUAAAUUUCUUCUAUCAUAUUUAAAUAAUCGAUCAUUUCUUUAGGAACAAUUGCUUUUUCCAUUUUAUACUUAAGAUAUUUUAUAAAACUUUUAUCGGAUUUUAAAUCCAAUUGUUUUGCUUUAAAAAAUUUCGUUGGUUGGGAAGAUGAUGGUUUAUCAUCUUUAAGUGUAAAAAUAGCAUUACCAUAAUAUAAUGGUCUGAAGUUAUUUGUCUGACUUUUAUCAACUUCUAAUAAUUUAAAUUUUUUAUUAAUAUUUACUAAUAACUGUUUAGAUUCUUAGUUUAAAUCUAAACUAGUAACUUGUCCUAAACUAUCUAUUUUUUAUUCUAGUAUAUCAACUUUAGUGAACAUAUUUUUAAAGAAAAUAGUAGAUAAAUCAAUUAAACUAUUUAUACUAUAACUGAUUGCUAGAAUAUGAUUUUUUUAAUUGAAAAUCCACAUGUAGACUAUGAUUAUGAAGGUUUUUUGAGCAAACAUAGUUUUCAAUUUUUUGCUACAUGUUAUUGGUAUCUAAAACCGUUUGUAUACCAUACCAAGAUCUCUAAAGCUAGAUUAAAAGGCAACAACAAAGCCACAACACUAGCACAGAGAUAGUAAACAGAUAUAUGAGUUUUAAAACAUAAAGCUAAAAAUUAAAAAUUGAGAAAGUAAAUAAAUACUUAUAAAGAUAGCUUGAAAUUGGAAACCUCAUAUAGAAUAUAGAUAUAUCAACCUUGAUAUAUAUAAAUACAAACUAGAAAUAAUUAAGGUUCUUUGACCGUAGAUAAGAUUCUGAUACCAAUUACAAGAGAAAGGGGAUGUGAGAAAGAGAUAUUACAAGAGAGUAUAGAAAAGAGGGAGAGAGAUGGGCUAGGUAUCCGAUCCCUCUCUAAUACAAUCUUCAAUAUUUAAGCUUAACAAAUUUUGUUCUUAUCUAAUUAUGAAGUUAGGCUUGAAGUUAGGCUUAAAGUUAGGUAGAUAUUUAUUACAAAAGAGAUAUUUAUAUAUCCUUAUUUGCUUUUGGUAGAUUUGAAAAAAUACCUAUAAGUAUAAUUUAUGUGUAUGAAAUAUCUGAAAAUAACAUUGUCCAUAUAAAAAUGUGUUUUAUAACUCAACAACAUCUAUUUUAACAAUUGGUUUUAGAUUAAUUUUUGGUACAAAGAAAUGCCCAAACCUGGGGGCUAAGAUAAGAGAAAUUGUACCAGACGAAUAAAACAUUGAAAUGAAGUUAUUCCUUUCUUGUUUUCAAAUUAAUUAAUAGAGCUCUUAUUAUGUAACUUCUUGUUUUAGGCAAGGAAAUGUGCCUAAAAUUGUGUUCUAUUGUUUGAAUUGCUCUUGAUCAAAAUUUAAUUUUUAGCAAUUCUAGAUAUAGGAAAAAAUUAUGAAUUCUUUUUUUUUUAAUUUUGUUUACUGUACUCUAAAAAAUAUGUCGCUUUACUAAUUUUGAUAAUAGAAUUCAAAAAUUCUAUUGUCUGAUAAUUUUUUAAACAUUAUUUAGGUGUUAUUUAGUUUUUUACAUGUUAUAUUAAGCUAUAAGACAAAAUAUAAUCCUUUUAAUUUCAUCUUAAUUUUCAAACCUAAUACUUUCAAGAUCAAAUCUUAAACUUAAAGAAUUCGGAGGAUCCCUUCCUUUUAUUAGUUUGGGAUUAAUUUUUUAUUUUAAAAUAAUAAAAUUAUUUGAACUUAACUGUAUAUAUAUAUAUAUAUAUUUAUGCAUGAAGAUAUAAAAAAUCAUAACUUUCAACAUUUUUAAAAUUUUCAUUUAAGAUUUUUUGUGGAUAAAUAUAUUUAACUAUUCAAUUUAAUUUAGUAAAAAAUAGGUAAAUUGAUAUAUUUUAGUAGAUUUUCUUCUAAACAAAUCUAAAUUAUUUAAAUUUAAGUGUAUAUAUAUUUCCUUUUUUAUAUAUGAAGAUAUAAAUAUAUAUAAAGUACAACAUUAAUUAAAAAAAAAAGGAGUCUUCUAAUGGGCUAAUUACUUGACACUCAUCAGGCAAUUAUUAAUUUUUUAAUAAUUUUUUGUAAUUUUUUUAUAAAAAUAUUUUUUGAAAAAUAUUUUUAUUAAUUUUUUAAAUUUCUUUUGUAAUUUUUUACCCAAAAACUUUUUUAUCUAGUGCUUAUUUAAAUAGUUUAGUUUUAUCUUUGUUUUUAAUUAAUAUAAAAAAAUUAUCAAACAUCCAAUCAUAAGAUGACAAAUGUCCCCAAAUUGGAUGCCCUUAUGAAUAUUAGUUGAUUUGAUGACCACUUUUUUUUUUAUUUAGUGGUACGAGGUUGCUAGAUUCUACCAAGUACAUCACUUACUAGACUGGUUUAAAUAAGUUUAUUUAUGUUAGGCCUAGCAAAUUCAUGAGAAGUUAUCUUCUGGUAGCCUUUCAGCAGAUUCGAACGUAGGUAACAAAAAGGAGACAUACUUUUUUUACCAUUUGAAUUAAUCAUAUUUUGAUAGAUUUGGAAACUAUAAAUAAUAAUAAUAGAUUUAUUAAAAUUUAAAAUAAAAUUUAAUUGAAGGUAAUUAUAAAGCAACAUGCAUCAUGCAAUAAAAGCUUCAAUUGAACAAUUAUUUGUGGUUAUAAUUAGAGAAUAACUUUUAUAUUAUGUAAAUUGACAAUAUAUGUAAAUAUUGCUCAUCACUAAUGAAGUUCAAAUUUUAGAGAUUUAAGAUAGUGUUGGGUCUAGUAAUUAGUAGAUUUUAACUUUUGUGAAAAAUCAAAAAUUAAAAUUUAAAAGAUUAUCCUCUAUAUAUGGUUGAUAAUUAUGACAUUUUGUUUUAAUAAUAAAAGUAAGGGUUUAAACUUUAUAAAUUUUAGGUUCAAAUGGCACCACAUAUUCUUUUAAUUUAAUUCUAUAUUGGUUUUACCUAUUAAUUUAUUUUUGUACAUAGAAUGGGCAUAGUUUAUGAGGGAAGAGAGAGAAGAUCUUGGUUUGGAAAUCAAGAUUUCUACAUCUUGUAAAAACUCUUUAAUCACUAAAUCAAUAAGCUGAGGAUAAAAUAUUUUGUAAUAUAUUAUUUAAAUUCAAACAAAAUAUUACACACACUUUGUAAUAAUAAUGUUAAUGUUUAUGUAAUUAGAUUAUAUAUAUAUAGAGAGAGAGAGAGAGGGAAGGAAUCAAUUAACAAUGGUAUAAAACAUUUUAGUUUAACAUUUUUUUCUAAUUAUUAUUUUUAAUAGAUCUAAAGGAUGAAAGACACAAGUACCAAAAAAAAGUUUAAUCUUUUCUCUUGAAUAUAUUAAAAUUAAUAAUUAAAAAAAAUAUAAAACUUUUUUGGUGUAACUUAAUUCUUCUCUCUCUCUCUCUCUCUAUAUAUAUAUAUAUAUAUAAUUGGUAGUCUAUGCUUUAUAAAUUAUAAACCAAUAACAACCUACAUAUGUGGUGACAUCAUGUUUUUAACAUCUUAAACUAAAACUUUUAAAUUAAUUCCUAAGAAAAAAAAAAGGAAUAUUUUUCAACCAUAUGCAUUUUAUGAUAAGAAAUAUAUAUAUAUAUAUAUAUAUAUCCUUUUAACAAAAAUUCAAAAAUAUAAAAAACUUAAAUUUGUAUUUACUAGAUCAUGUAUACUAUAAUUAACUUUGAUACAUAUUUAGAUCUCAAUACAAAUAUAUAAUAUACUUAUAUAUUAUUAGUCAAAAGAUAAGUAUUUUUAAUAAAUAAAAAAUUUAAUAGAAUUUUUAUUAUUAAAUAAGUAUUCAUCAAAUUUAAAUUAUAAACGAUAUUUUUAACAAUUUUUUUUUACAUAUUAUUGAUCUUCUUAAUAAACUUCAUCAAACAAUCAAUUUUUAUUUUUUAUUUUAAUUUUUAUUACAUUAUUUUUAAUAAAAAAUUUCACAAACAUCAUUUAAAUAACUUCCCAAAAAAUUUCCCUACCUUAAUAUUACCUGGCCACCAACCUCUUCUCUUUUGUUCUUUCUUCUAAUAAAGUAACAAUAUAAAAAAGGUUUAAGGUCCACAUAAUUUAACUUUACCAUCGUUCGAGUUGCCUUUGGCUUUUUUUCUAUAUAGUCAAAAGAAACUUUCAUAAAGGAAAAUAGAGUUGUCUUUUUCAUUAAAGAUAAUAUUGAAGUCCACAUCACUCAAAUUUCAUAAGAGAUUUAUUUGAGAUUUAUUAGAUAUUGCUUGAUGGAUAAAUUUGACUUGUAGAAAAAUAAUUCUAAGAGGAAAAGAAUUUUUAAGAGAUAAGUUUAUAUGACUAUAAAUAGUUGAAGUUUUUAUAGGAUUAAGUAUGAGACAAAGAUGUAAGAGAAUUGUAAGGUUUUAUGAAUAGAUACCCCAUAAGAUUACUAAAAAUUUACUUCUUAUGAGUGUGUAUGUUUGAAUAUUUGUGAGUAAAUUAGAAGAGACUAAGAAAGUUCGCAUAGCUAUGAUAUAUGGGUGCUUAUGGGUGUGUGCUUGGUUGUGUUAAAAAAGUGUACAUGGAUAUGUGUUUGUUUGAGUUGAGAAUAUUCCGUAGGAUUAGAGAAGAUUGAGAGGAUCUAUGGGUAUUAAUUGUUACUUGGUUGAUAUGUUUAAUGUAUAUUUGUAAUUCUCUACAACUAGUGGAUUUUAUUUCUCAUCUGUAGACGUAGGUCAGUUAAACUAAACUACAUUAAAUUAUUAUUUCUUAUCUAUUUGAUUAAUUAUUUGAUUAUGUUUCCGUUGGCUUGAUUGGAUUAAGGCCUUUUUGCCUAACAAUAUGCACCUGCUACUCCUCCAAGUCAUUUCUGAUUAAUUUCCAUUCCGCCUAUGAAUUUCUUGGUGGGUUCCUAGUCAUUAAUUUGAAUAGUAACGACGAUUAGUAAUGACCCUUAUAUUUUAAUUUUCAGAUGGAUGUACAGAGUUUCCAAAAACCAUUUUAUCCAUUGCAAUUUCUUGUUUUACUUUCCAUGGCUGCCAAAGGUUUCUCUGAAGCAUCUUCUUCUAGCUUCAAAUGGAACCAUGAUGUCUUUCUAAGUUUCAGAGGCGAAGACACUAGGAAGAACUUCUCGGAUCAUCUCUACGCAGCUCUGGUGAGACAUGGAGUGGUUACCUUCAGAGAUGACGAUGAACUUCCCAGGGGAAAAGACAUCUCCUCGGAGCUCCUCAAAGCAAUUGAAGAAUCAAAACUUUCUAUAGUGGUUUUCUCUAAAAACUAUGCUUCUUCCAGGUGGUGUCUUGAUGAGCUUGUCAAGAUUAUUGAGUGCAAAAACACAACAGGUCAGGUUGUUAUUCCAGUCUUCUACGAUGUUGAUCCAUCUGAUGUCCGGAAACAGAUGGGAAGUUAUGAAGAAGCUUUUGCUAAACACGAAGAACGGUUUAAAGAUAAGAUGGAAAGGAUCAAAAAGUGGAGAGAAGCUCUUACAGAAGCCGGAAAUUUAUCCGGCUGGGACCUUCGAAACAUGGCAAACGGGUAAUAUUUAAUUUCUAAGAUGAAUCAUCCAAAAAAUUCUAAGAUAUAUAUAUAUAUAUAUAUGUGUGUAUAUAUAUAUAUAUAUAUAUAUAUAUUUACAUCUUCGUUUUUAAACAAAAAAAUUAAAUGAAACUAAUUUUAAUUGCUAGUUAGUUCUAUUAAAAUUAUAUUAUGUACUUAAUUUUAAGUUCUUGUAGUCAAUUUAUAUCUUACUAUAAUUUUUUUCUUUUAUGUUUGACGAUUUAAACCUUAAAAUUAAAAGCGGAAAUUCUACUCAAACUAUAAACACCUGAAAAAAUGUGUAAUUUAUUUCUGUUGUAAAAUUGUUUGUUUGAAGUGUAUAAUGAGAAUAUAUCAUAUAUAAUUAUUGGAGUAUAAUUAAUCAAUUAUAAUUUAGUAUUGUGAAGUGUCCAUCAAAAAACUAUUUAAAUCUCAUUAUAUUUUAAGUGAUGAACUCUUAAAUAAUAUUUUAUUAUAAUUGAUUAAUUGUAGUAAUGUAAUCAAGAUAAUUAUAAAAAUUAUAUAGCCAAAAGUGGGUGUUUACUGAUAGUCAAAUUUACUUAUGUUUUUCUUGUGUUCUUUCAUAUGUUUUUCUUGGGUUCCUUCAUCGCAAAUGAUUUCACAGGUAUGAAUCGAAAUUCAUCCAAGAGAUUGUCGAUGAUGUUAUCAGAAAAUUUAACCGCAAUAUUCACAAUGGCUUGCACGUCGCCACUCACCCAGUAGCUCUAGAAUUACGUAUCAAAAGGGUGAUGAAAUUACUAGAUAUUAGAUCUGAAGAAGUUCGCGUAGUGGGCAUCUAUGGAAUGAGCGGGAUAGGUAAGACCACCAUCGCAAAAGCUGUCUACAACCUAAUGGUCUGUGAAGGAUUUGAAGGAUGCAGUUUCCUUUCAAAUAUUGAAGAUGACUCGCAGCGACCUAAUGGUCUUGCUAGGAUGCAAGAGAAGCUCCUUUCUGAUAUCUUGAAUGGGAAAAAAUUCAAGAUAGAUUAUACUGACAGGGGUGUCAAUUUAAUCAAGGAGAGGCUUUGUUGUAGAAGAGUUUUUAUAGUUCUUGAUGACUUGGUUGAGUCAGCACAAUGGAGACCACUAGUCGGUGAUAGGAAGUGGUUCGGUCGAGGAAGUAGGAUUCUCGUCACAACCAGAGAUGAACAUUUGCUGACUGAAUUAGAGGUGGAUGAAAGAUAUAAGGUUCAACAAUUGAAUCAUAAGGAUUCAAUUCAGCUUUUAAGUUGGUAUGCAUUUAGGAGGCCUGCUCCAGAUAAAGAUUUCUUCGAACUUUCCAACAGUUUGGUGGAGCAUGCUGAAGGACUGCCGUUAGCUCUUGAAAUUUUUGGUUCUUCUUUGUUUAAAAGAAGCCUACCAGAAUGGGAAAGUUUUCUGGAAAAAUUACAGAAGGUACCUCACCAAAAAAUUCAAAAGAAGCUUAGGAUAAGCUUUGACACACUAGAUGAUGAUUUAUUGAAAGCCAUAUUUCUUGAUAUUGCAUGUUUCUAUAUUGGGAUGGAUAAAGAUUAUGUGAUGACAAUACUAGAUGGUUGUGGAUUCUUUCCAGAAAUUGGUAUGAAAGUUCUUCUUGAAAGGUCUCUUAUAGCAAUUAACCCAUUUAAUAAGCUAGAAAUGCAUAACCUACUCCGAGACAUGGGAAGAGAGAUUGUUCAUGAAGUAUCACCAUCUCACCCAGGAUAUCGCAGCAGGCUUUGGUUUCACCAGGAUGUAGUAAAUGUAUUAACGAAACACAUGGUAAAAUGUUAAAUGCAUUUCGUAAAUAAAUCUAAAAAUGUGCUAUACUUAACUAGAAUUAAUAAUAUUCUUUAUUUGUAUUUAGGGGACGGAAGCUGUGGAAGGUCUCAGCUUAGGUGUGCCAGCACUAGAAGAUGAUCUUAUAAGCACCAAAGCAUUUGCGAGGAUGAUCAACUUAAGAUUGCUGCAAAUCGAUUCUGUACAUUUCACCGGUUCCUGUGAAAAAAUUUCAAAAGAAUUAAGAUGGCUCUGUUGGCGUCGAUGUCCACUAAUGGUUCUACCGCCCAAUCUUUAUCUAGACAACUUGGUUGUUCUUGACAUGCAAUACAGUAGUAUCAAAAAAGUUUGGAAGGAGACAAAAGUAAUUAAAAUCACUCUCACAAUGCUAUGUUUUUUCUUUUUAUUUUGAUAUUCUAGAUCUUUUUUUCCUUAGCGCAUAUUAUGGAUUUACUGUUAUUUUCUUUUUCUUAUUUCAACAGGCUCUUCACAAGCUUAAAAUACUAGAUCUGAGCUAUUCGGUAUACCUUGGAAAGACACCAAACUUUGCAAAACUCUCAAGCCUACGAAGACUUGAACUUGAAGGUUGCACAGGUUUAGUUGAGGUUGAUCAAUCUAUUGGACAUCUGGAAAAACUUGAAUUCUUGAAUUUGGCAGAGUGCAAGAACAUAAGUGAACUUCCAGACAGCAUUUGCAACUUAAGGUCUCUUGAGACAGUGAACCUCAAUGGUUGCUCAAAACUUUGUAAUUUGCCAGAGCAUUUGGGUAAAUUGGAAGCUUUGAGAAAGCUUGUUUUAAGUGGAUCUGCUAUUACAGAGUUGCCUACUUCGAUCGGACUUUUGAAGAACCUUGAAGAUCUAUCUUUGGCUGGACUUAGAAAAGAGUUACCUUCUAAGUCUUGGUUCUCAUACUUUUCCUCAUGGAUCUCACCAAAAAGUAGUGUGGGUUCUUCUUCUUUACUGCUACCAGCAACGUUCUCUCAGUUAAGCUCAUUAAGAAAGCUUAAUCUUUGUGACCUCAACUUGUCUGACCAUGAAAUUUCCAUUGACUUUGGGAGUUUCCAUUUUUUGUGGAGUUUGGAUUUACAAGGAAACAACUUCUGUAACCUACCCGCAGGAAUCAGCAACCAUCCAAGGUUAGAGAGACUUGUAUUGAAUAACUGCAAAAACCUUAGAUCCAUCACGGAGCUUCCUAAAAAUUUAACGGCCUUAUACGCAAAGCAAUGCACAUCAAUUGAGAGAUACCCAAACUUAUCAAACAUUGGUAGAAAACUUCUUAGAAUCGCAAUUAGUAAUUGUCGCGAAGUAGCUGACAUUCAAGGUUGGGAUUUUCGCUCAUUUCAGAAAUUGUCUUCUUCUUGGCCUAUUGGACGAGAUCUUAACCAGCCAGAGGUCUUUCUCUAUCUCUCUCUGUAUACAUAUAAUAUAUAUUAUCAUGCAUGAUAAUGUUCAUAACUACUAGUAUUUCUUUGAAACAGAAGUCGUUGUAUUCCAAGUUUAAGUAUUUGGAAGCUUACUUCCCAGCGAGAGAGGUGCCAGAUUGGUUCGACUAUAAAGAAAUUGGAUCUUCGAUACUGUUUUGUAUGCCUUCAAUCCCGAUUGGUUUAGAUCGAGGUAUGAUUGUGUGCGCAAUCUAUUCGGUCAAUGAAGAAUGCAAUGACGAAAGCACUUCUACAGCUUCUCUUACCAUAUAUUUUAAGAAUAAAACAAAGGGCUGUGAGACUUUUGAUAGGUCACAUGGUUCCCUCGAUGGGAAUAUAUUGCAAGAUCACGCGUGGGUGAGUUACAUGGCACCUAGUUUGAACGAUGAUGUAAAAUCUUUUAUCGACGAUGUAAACGCUGAAGAAGGAGAUGAAAUUGAAGUUUCAAUUGAGCCGCAUGGUGGAAUUCUUGUGAAGAAAUGUGGUAUUCAUCUGCGAAUUCAUGGGUAGAUGAGGGUAAGUUUUAAGAGCCUUCAUUGAUUUAUUUUAUUUAUUGUUGAGACCAAUAUUAAUUUUAUUCAUUGUCAAUAUCAUAAUAGGGAAAUUUUUCAGAAAUAAAUUACGUUUUAAAGAUUCAUUUGCAUGAUUAUUGAGAGAUCAAUGAUUGAAUGGUAGUUUAAUUAUAUAUAUUGAAAAAAAAAGUUAAAAAUAUUGAUAUCAAAAUUAUUGUACAAAUAUUUUUAAAAUACGAAAUCACAUUAAAAAUAAAUGUAAAAUUUAUAACAAUUAUGAGUGAAUAUGAAAAUUUUAAUUUUUAUUAGCAUUAUCUUAUUUUUGUUUUAUUUUUAAUUUAAUAUAUUUCAAUUAAACUAGUAAAAUUUCUAACUACGUUGCUAAUAAUCAAUUCCUUGUAAGCCAAUCACCCAGCCAAAAUCAAAUUACUCCAAUACUGAUGCAGAAUAAAAAAAAUCGUUGAAGAUUUUUUUUUACGGUCUAUAAAUAUGUGAUUAUGUUUAAAGUUAAGAGCAUUAUUUUGUAAGACAUUGAUAAAUUAUUAUAUGAAAUCAUGUUUCUGUUAAAAAAAUUAACUACUAUUUAUUAAUUUUUCAUUUUUAAAAUGAUUAUCAAAUACAAUAUAAAUCUAAUAAAAUUAAUUUCAAAAGAUAAUAAUUAAUGCAACAAUAUAAUUAUAUUCACUCCAAACGAAAUUGAAAAUAUAUAAAACCAAAAAAUCAGCUUAAUUUUUUCCACUAUUUAGAAUAAAAAUAUAUAAUUAUAUGUUUUCAUUUAGUUAUUGAUUUUCUUGUAUUAAAUUUAAAUUUAAAUCUUUGCAAAUGAGUAUAAAAUUUUCUUUAUAGCAUGCUUUAAGACAAUUGCAAUAUUCAUUACCAUCCAAUAUACAUUACACCUUUUAUUUGAAAUAUUCAAACUUGCCACUGACGAUCAUUGACCAUAUUAUUCCCACUAACAAUCUCUUCCAUAUAGCAAUAAUUUUGUGGUUUCUAUAGUUUCAUAUAAUAAAUUUUUUAAUUUAAAAUUUUAAGUUUUGAUUAUAAAAAUAUGAAAUAUGCAGUAAAAAAUUAAAGAAUUUUAAAAUAUUGCUUGUAAAAAAAUAAAAAAAAUUAUAAAAAAAGUUGAUUUUAAGUGAAAUAAAUUUCAAUUAUUUAGACUCAAAUAUUAUUUAAUUUUAUUUAAAUAUUAUUAUUAAAUGAGAUAUGAUAAUAUAUAUAUCUUUAUUUAAACUUCCUUAGGUAACUACAUGUUGAUCUACCAUAUUUAUUUUCCUCAUUUUAUAUUGAAUUUUUAUAUUUUUAUAUUAAAUUUACUAAUUAUAUUAUAAUUGCAUUUUCAUAUAUAUAUAUAUAAUUGCAUAAAUUAAUUUAAAUAAUAUCCAAAUUCAAAAAAAUCCACGAUGCAAAAAUAAUUUUAAUUUUUUCCGACAUAAAAUUAACCGACGCAAAGCCGCCGUUGAUACGGCCCAAUUUGACGCAACUUGACGCUUCUUCCAUUGACCCCUUUCCAUAAACCUUUUCUCUACUAAACGAUAAAGCACCUUUCAAAAUGGACACAACCGCACCAUCCACAACCCGAGGCGGUGGCGGCGGAGGUGCACCUUUCCUCCUAAAGACAUACGACAUGUAGAGGACUCUUCGACCGACGAGAUCGUGUCAUGGAGCUCCAGCAAAAACAGCUUUAUCGUUUGGAAUCCUCCUGAAUUUGCCCGCCUUUUGCUUCCCACCUAUUUCAAGCACAAUAACUUCUCCAGCUUCGUCAGGCAGCUUAAUACCUAUGUGGGUUUCUCUUCUUUUUGCUUUUUUUAAAGGAUUUUCUUUCUGGGUUCUUUUAUUCAUUUAACUUGAUUGAAUUCUUUGAUAAUUCUGGGAAAUUAUGGGUUUUUAUUUACCGUUUAACUUCAUUUCUUCAUGGGUUUUUUAUUUGGAACUGUAACAAUUUUGAUUUAAAGCUGAUUAGGAUAUCUUGGCCUGGAGCCGGCACAAAAAUUUAAGGUCGACCAAUGUCUUCUGUUGUCAUUUAUAAGGUGAUUUCUAUGAGGGGUGGGUCGUUUUCUUGGUCAAUGAACUAUGGAGGUGAAUCAACCUUGUACAGAAACAUGGGGAUUGUAAUUAGUCUUUUCUAAUUUGGAUUUAGGAAUCUUCUGCGUAAUUGUUUCAGAUUUUCAUUUUUCUUUAUUGUGCAUUUCUUCUAUGAAUAACAGAAACUUUUGAUCUUUUCUAGUGAAGAGAAUUGUUCUUCAUUGAAUCGGAGCUUAGCUCAGUUGGUUCAUGUAGCUACUUUAUGAGUUGGCAUCCGGUAGGUCUAGGAUUCAAAUCCCAAUAUCGCAACCAUUUCCCCUAUCUCUAGGUUUUGGGCUCUUUGUAUAAAAAAAAUUGAUCCGUCACUAAGGUAUCACUUGCAUGUUUAUCUUCGAUUCAUAGGCUGUUCAUAUGAAUGUUACCAAUAGUUUUCUAUUACCUUUAGUUUGCUUAGGUUAGAUAUAUGAGGAUUGGAGUGGUUAAGAAUGAUCUGAGUGCAUACGAAUGUAAUUUGGCAACAGGGGUUCCAUAAGAUUGAUCCUGAAAGGUGGGAAUUUGCUAAUGAAGAUUUUGUGAAAGACCAAAAGAAUCUUCUUAAGAAUAUCCACCGUAGAAAACCUAUAUACAGCCACAGUAAUCCUCAUGGUUCUAUGAUAGAUACGGAAAGAGCUGGAUUUGAAGAAGAAAUAGAAAAGCUUUAAAGUGAGAAAGCUGCACUUGAGGCUAAUGUUUUGAGGUUUAGACAAGAGCAAUCAGCUGCAAAGCAUCAAUUGGAAGAACUGACACUGUGAGCUGAUCAAAUGGAGCGGAGGCAGGACACUUUGUUUGAUUUCUUACAAAAGGCUGUUCAAGACCGUACUUUUGUUGAACAUCUUGUUCAUAAGAUUGAAUCUAUGGAUGUUGCAGCAUACAAUAAGAAAAGACGAUUGCCUUAUAUUGAUCAAACCAAGCCAGUUGGAGAAAAUAGUCUUUUGGAGAACAACAGUAGUUCUGGACCUGAGAUAGGAAAUAUUUUGCACCAAAGUUUCUCAAACAAGCUAAGACUAGAAUUGUCACCUGCUGUUUCAGAUAUUAACUUGGUUUCUAAUAGCACACAAAGUUCUAAUGAAGAUAGAGCAAGUCCACAGAGAAGGGUCUGUGAAGGAGAACCAAAGGAUGCUCAGACCAGAUCAGAGGGCCUUUUAUUCGCACCUGAAACGUUAGAUCUUUCAGAUACGGGUGCAUCUUUUACAUUCAAAAUGGAUUCAUCUUUCACGCAGAGAGUACAAAUGAAUGAAAUCCCAACAGUACAUUCCCUGCAACAGAGAUUAAAUUCCAAUGAAGAACCUGAUAGUCGUGUUUCCUGUCAAUUAAAUCUAACUCUGGCAUCUUCAUUACAAGUCAAUAGAAGUCCUAGCUUAACUAUGAUGUCCCAACAACGUCGGUAAAUUGUAAAAGUCCCAGAGUUAGGAUUUGAUGCCAACACUAAAGACUCUGAUACUAGAGCUUCUGGGAACACCAGAAACAUGAUUGAUGAGUAAGCAACAUUUUCUUCACCAAAAGAAGGCCCUAAUACAAAUCAAGAGCCUACGACUGCUCCAGUUAGAGCGAAUGAUGUAUUUUGGGAACAGUUCCUUACGGAAAGACCAGGCUCCUCUGACAAUGAAGAGGCCAGUUCUAAUUAUCAAGCAAACCCAUAUGAAGAGCAGGAAGACAAAAGAUUGGGUCAUGGACCACCAAGGAAUGCUAAAAACAUGGAGUAGCUUAGUCUUUGAGCAGCAAAAUUGCCAAUUUUCCAUAAAUCCAGUGACAAAUCUAAAAAGGUCUCUCUUACACCUUUUCUAAAAUCGUUUUGAUUAAAAUAAUGUUGGACUCCAUUUGUGUUUCCAUGUUGAUAUAAGUGCUCACAUUGGAGAGAUAACAACCUUUUGGCAUUAGUGAAAUCAAAUUAUGUAGUUGUACCAUCUAGUUUUCAAGUUUUCAGUACCUAAUUAACAGGCACUUAUCUUGAGAAACUGAAGUAAUCUGCUUUUCUUUUUCCUGUAACAAAACUGAAGUCUCUUAUUACUGUUGCAUUUCAUUUCUUAAUUUUCCGAAGUUUUCAGUAACUAGAACUUUCAUUUUUGGCAAAUUGAAGCAGAAUCGAUGUCUCUGUCUUAAGAUGGUCAUCUGACAUUUCAUCUCAUAGAUUUUGAAUGUUGUUUGUUGUUGCAUCAGUCUUGAGAUAUCAUAGUUUUCCCUUUCGACCAAUUGAUGUAUAGAUUAUUCAUUAGUUGGUGCAGUGAACAUUAUGCAUGAUACAAGAUCUUAAAUCUUUUGAGAAAGUAGGAUUCAUCUGAAAAUUACAUUAGCACAAUACAGUGAUAAUGUGAUAGGUAAAAUAAAAAAAUGGAAAACUACCUUUGCUUAUGUGGUUCUUAGAUUUAGAGUAAAAGGGUCAAUUGAGUGUUACAUUCAAGCAUUACUUCAUCUACAUAGGUGUUGCAAGCAAUUAUGGAUGAGUUGGCCUUGACAGGCGAAUAUGAAUACAUAGAGUUAGUUCUUGUGAAAUGAUUAGACAACCCAAGUGCACAGAAAUGCUUUCGUUCUUCCAUAGCAUUGGAAAAAAGUUCUACUUAUGCAACAAAUGCUGCUCUGGUAACCAACCACCGAAAGGAAAUUUUAAUGUCCCUAUGGUUUUAUUGUUAAUCCUCCAUGCUUUUAUCUUAUUGAUAAAAACUUAAAAAUACGUUGGAAAGGGUUGGAGCUUCUAAUCCAACUUGGACUAAAACUGAUGUUUGUGGCUACUGAGAUGUUUCGAAAGGAAGAAAGCAGGCUGCAACAAGUAGGUUAAUCAUUGGGAUAUAUCAAAUGCUGCAUGGAUAGCCGCCCAGUUGUUGCUUAGAGCUCCUAGUCUUGUUAAUUUCCACUUUUAUCAUGUGUUCAACUUAGAGCCGAUAAAUUUGACUUGAAAAUUCCAUCCGAAUCCAAUCCUGAUCUAGUCUGAGUUGAUGAGGAAAAAAAAUAAUAUUUCAGCACAUUCAGGGAAAAUUUUAAAUAUAAUGAAGUUCAAGAAUUUUCUUAUUAAAAUUGAUUUAAUAAAAAAUUUAAAUCGAUAAAUUAAUAUUCAAUAAAAAUCUUAAUAAUAUAUAAAAGAAUUGUGACAUAAUAAUUGUGAGGAAAAUCAAUUAUGACAUAAUAAGCCUAGUAAUACUAGAAUCCUUGGCAAGCAAGAAAGCCAUUACUCUCAUUGCUGACAGUAAAAAAAAUAACAGUCAAGAAAACCAGUUUACAGUUAUGAAGAAGAUACAGACAAACAAUACCAGUCUAAGAUGAUAUGAACACAAUCAUAUAGUAAUUUUUAAAAAAUAAAGAUAUAGAUAUAUUAAGAUACGGUAAUAAAUUUAUAUAUAUAUAUAUAUAUUAUAAUCAUUAAUUAAAAAUAUAUAAUAGAUUUUGAGCUAAUUUUUAAAAGGUAAUUACUUUUGCAUAAAAAAAGGAUGGUAGACACAAUAAUAAAGGAAUUGUUAAUCUAACAUGGAUUUUUAUUUAUUUAAUGUUAUUUUGUUGCAUAAUUUAAUCUUUAAAUGUAUCAAAAACGUCAAAGUAUUUAACAUAAAUAUCGAUUUAAGGAUAUAGAAGGGGUCAUAGGUUUCCGAUUAUCAAUAAUUUUACAUGGUGUGGAAUGUCAACUAGUAAUAUUGGAACUUGAGAUUUUUCCUAAGUAUUCCAUAACACUCUUGAAUCAAUCUAGUUACAGAAGACAUGGGUUUCAAUUUUAGAAGUGUCAAACAUGGUUAGAUAGUUUUAUGUUAUCGAUAUAAUUGGUACGGAUAUUGAUCAUAAUUGACACAUUUAAUUGUUAUAAUAAUGUCGUCUGCUACGCAAAAUUCAUUUAUAUUUGUAUUGUAUUGAGUUAGAAGAUUUAGGUUUAAUUAGAUUGACACAACAUAACCCUCAAGCGUUAAUACCAGCAUUGGACAUAUGGAUUGGCAUGGUAUGACAUACAAUAAUUAAUAUGUCAAGUUGUGCAAGUUCAAUAAAUAAUAUAAAUGAGUUUAGUAUGUAAUCUUUACUUGUAUUUUAUGUUACUCUUAUCAUGCAAUGGACAUUCUUUUAUCCUUUUAAUACUUUAUAUUAGCAAUUUAUAAAAAUUAAAAUUUAUUAAUAAAUUUACUUAUAAAAUAUUUAAACUAUUAAUAGAUAAAAAUUAAAAUUUUUUCAUUUUGAAUAUUAUUUUUUAAAAACAAGAACUAUAAAUGUAUUAUUUAAAAAUUGAUUAUGAAAAACCAAAAAAAAAACACAUAAUAUAAAUGACCGUCAUAUGGUGAAAAUGAAAUGUAAAAUAAUAAUGUGAUAUCUAUUUUUUUAAUUUAAAGAAGUGAUAUUAGUAUUAGUUAAUUUAACAUAUUUGAUGAAUUUUUUAACCCUUUAUUUGUAAAUAUAGAUAUUUUACCGAAUUAUAUAAAUUAUAUGCCUCAUGUAUUAAUUUCAUAUAUUAAUUUUUAAAGAUAGUUGAAAAACAAAAAAAAAAAAUUCCUCAAAAAAAUAAUACAAAAAUUAAGAAACUAUUAAUCGGUCUAUGACUAAAAGAAUAGUGCCAUUUUAGAUGCGACUUGACCCAUAAAGGCUAAAAGUCAUAUGUUGUGUUGGAGUAUACUUUUAGUAUUUAUGAGUCAUAUCAACCCAGCACGUUAAAUAAUAAUGUUGGCUGACAUAACCCAUUGUACACAUGGGCUAUUUUUUUUAAUGAAUUGUACUAGCCUAACACGAUUCAUUUGACACUUUUACUUAGUCUAAAUUCAAGCAUCAUAAUGAAUCAAAUUUACUUUAACUUACAAAUUAAGAUUUAUGGAACUCAUAUAAAAGAAUGUCAACUAGGAAGUACUGGUGAGAUAUUGACUCAAAUCUCAAAAUAUUUGGUGAAAGAUUUUUUUAAAAAAUUAAUUAGAUAUGACUUAAUUGAGAGGAAGACCUAUAAUCGAAGAAUUUUAUAAGAAAAGAAAUUUUUGGUGAGUAAAUUAAUAGUCUUAUAAACAAUGAGAGUCUCAAUAAAAUUAAGUAUAAGAUAAAGACGUAAAAAAAUUAUAAGAUUUUAUCGAGAUAAAAACACAGAAGACUAAAAAAGAUUGAGAGAAUACUUAUAGAUGUGUAUAUUUGAAUGUUUAAUGUGUGAUACUCCAAAGGACUAGAUGAAAAAAAGAGGAUCCAUGAGUAUGAUAAUUCUUAUGUUUGUGAAUAAAUUAGAUAAGAACAAAAGGAUCCACAAAAAUAUGUAUGUGUUUUAUUUAGGAUAGUUAGAGAUUAAUUUGGAAACAUUAAAUAUCAAUUUGGGAUGGUUAAAGAUCGGUUUGGGAUUAAGAUUAUAUGAUUGUAAUUUUUUAUAAUUAAUUAAUUUUUUCUCAUUCAUGAUGGUAAACAAAUUAAAUGUCAAAUUAUAUUGUUAACUUUUAUGUAAAUAAUUUUUUAUUUGAUUUCCUUUCUCUAACUUAAAUAUUUAAUUUAUUAGGAUUUUUUUUUUUUCAUAUCAGAGCAGAUCUAACAAGAACAAUAUGAGAUAGAAUUAUUACACAAUAAAAUGAAAAAAAAAAAAAAACACUUGAUUUCUGUUUCCUAGGUGAUGUGUUAGGUCAAAUCCACAGCUGGAAAUGUUAAAUGGGUUGUAAUGAUAACUAUCCCACUGCCUACUAAAGGUGCAAAAAUAUGGUGGGUAUCUUUUUUCCCUUUCUUCAUUGAUGAGGUUCCUCUUUUAUUAAAGAGCUGCUCCAGUUAUGCUCUAGAGUCCAGCAACAUGGGGAUGCAUUCAAUCCUUUGGCUUUCAUAUUCUUCUCUUCUUCCUUAUUCUCGGCCUUGUUCCAUCCAAUAGUUAACACAAUACGAAUAACUAGGGAAAAGGGAGAUAGGAUAUAUUUAAUCAUGUAUAAUGGAGUCAAUAAAUUUGUUUGGAAAAAUUAUAACUCAAAUUUAAAAUUGAAUGCAAGCAAAUUUAUUCAUUUUGAAUGAUAUUAAUUAUUAGUUUGCACAUUAUUAAGGUAUAUAAUAAAUUGUAAUUAAUGGCCAUUCAUUAAUAAUCAAAGCAUGCCUUAAAAAUUACAAAUGUAAAAGAAUUUAAACUUGUAAUUUUCUCUUCAGGUGAAUUAAAUAAAUAAAGAUUAGAGAGUUAAAAAAGUGAUAUUGCAUGAUCAUAUAUAUAUAUAUAUAAUACAACCAUAUAAAUGCUCUUAUUGAAUUUAAAAUUUUCAUCAUCUAUAUAUAAAAAUAAUUUUUUUUUUUGUAAAAGAUUAAAGAAACCCACUUGUGAAUAUUUUCUCGUGGAGCGUAUGUAGUUUACAUGAUUUCCAAAUGAUUCUUUGAACAUUGCAAAAUAAAAGUAGGGACAAGAUUCUAGCCCCAUAAAAAAGGUUAAAAAGAUGUCAUAUAUUGAAGAUGAGCAAGGUUUACACAUAUAUUAUGUGUAUUUUGAUAAUUAUUUGGUUUGCCAUUUAUGUAGAAGAAUAUAAAUUUGACUUGAAAAUGAAGAAAAAAAAAUCAGUGAUAAAAUGUCAAUUUAAAACUUUAAAAGGCAAAAUUAUAAUUUAUUUAACAUUUAAUCAGAAAAUUUUUUUUUGAAGGAGGUCCCACUCUUUAAUGCAUUUCCAAGCAAAAUGGGAUAAUUUUGUUGGAAACAUAAAUAUAUGUAAGCUUAUGUUGUUUCCAUGUCCUAGGCCUCAUCCAUCACCUCUUCAACAACCCAAAAAGUAUUAAUUUCUAUCCAUGUGAAAGAGCAAAAUCAGACCAACAAAGCUCCAAACUUACUCAGAAACACCCAAAUCCAAAACCAAAAAAUGCCCAUACUCAAAUUCCUGUUCACCACCCUCUCUCUAUCCCUUAUUUUCUUCCAUACCUGUGAUUCUGUUUCAAUUUUAGACCUUGACAAUGCACUGAAAAACAGAGAAGUUGAUGUCAUGGUGAGAAGGGUUUGCACCAAAAAGCUUGAAGAUUGUUUAGAAGAGCAAGAAAUGGAGUCAGAGAGCAGCAGGAGAGUGCUGGUGAUACAAAGGAGGUACAUUAGCUAUGAGACACUGAGGAGGGACAUGGUCCCAUGUGCAAAGCCUGGUGCUUCUUACUAUGAUUGCAAUGCUGGUCAGGCAAAUCCUUACAACCGAGGUUGUGAGGUUAUUACGAGAUGUGCUAGAGGUAUUAAAGAUAUCAAAACCUGAAACCCCAAAAUUGAAGUUUUACCCAUGAUAACUGCUUUGUGAAAAGUGGUAAUGUCUUGGUUGUGGGUUUCUAAGAUUUUUGUUGUCUUUCUGGGUUUUUUCUUUUUUUGGUUUAUGGCUGUAUAUCAAAGAUUCUUACUUUUAAUUUGGCAUUUGCUACAUAUAAAUGCAUGUUUAACUUGAAUUUGGAGAUCCUGGGACUUCCUUGUUAGAGUACUUAAGAAAAUUUACUUGGUGCUUGAUGAGGAAAUUAUGAAUAAUGCAGGUAAUCUUCAUUUUUUGUUUUCUUGGUUUCUGAAAAUCUAUCCUGUAAGAGUUGUUCUGGCCUUUAACAUAAGCAAGAAAUUUUUCUAGAUUUCAAAAUCUUGCUGUCAGAAUGUUUUACAUUUGAAUCACUAUUUUGAUUUCCAUAAUACCCCCAAAUGAGAACCAAAAAUUGUGAUUUUCUGCAUAUUUUUUAACUUUUUCUGCGAUAAAAAAGUGUACCCAGUGGAGAACAGAAGGAAAAAGUUAAUUUCAAUUAAGAUCUGCUCUGUCCUUUCUAAUUAUCAAUCAGCUUCAAUUAAAUCCAGGCACCUCCAGUCUAUCUACUCAUAGACUGAAGAGACUUCAUGCAUACCUUUGAAAAACUGCCCUGGAUACCCACAUAAGAUUGAAUUCAUUAAUUCGACUGAAUGGCUUGCUGUUGUAGCUUGUAGCAUGUUCUGCUAUAGUGCUUAGCUUAGAUCAAUUAAAGUUCUUUAUUCAUUCAACUAGACAUCUCAAUCAUACCUUGCUGUGAAGGGAUCAUUGUAAUUUUCUCAUUAUCUGAUCGUGCAUAAAAUCUCAUUAAAAUACUAAAUAGGUGAUUAAAUAUAUAGGAUACCUGCCUCUAGUUCUAUUCUAUCUAGCCUUGUGGUCCAUUCUGUUUUCCCCUAUGCCCCAACAAAAAUGCAGGAUUUUUCUUUCUGCCUCGAGUUAAAACUAGCUAUUCGAUUAGAGGAAUUUCAUUCCAUUUUAAUUUUAUGUGUUUGAAAAAUUUUCUAUUAGCUUUGAUCAUCACAUGGUGGUAGUGAAAUUAAGAGCUCAUAUAGGUUUUUAUUCCCUGUUGUUUUAUCACACUCAUUGUUGCUUGUUGCUGGUUUCUUUUCUUGCUUUUUUUCAUUCAUUUAAUUGAAUUUGAUAACGGAUCCCUUUGGACAGUCUUCCUUCAAUUUUGUCGAAUGUAAGUCAUUGAACUGAUUCUUCUCCAACAUUGACACAUGAUCAUAAUUGUUUGUAGACCAUAUAGUUACAAAAGAUGUUCUUAUCAGCUAAAUCUUAACUAUAUGUGCUACAAGACGGAUGGAUUUAGAAAUGGGAAGUAAAGAAUUUUACGGAUUUCAAGUUUAUGACAUGUUGUAACUGACCACUAGGAAUAAGGUUGGUUAUUCCUAAUAUUGAACUCCCUGCAGUAUGAACCCGGAGCUUAGCUCAUUUGGUUCAUGCAAUCAUCUUUUACAGUUGGCAUCCAGCAAGUUUGGGGUUCAAAUCCCACUACUUGCAACCCUUUCUUUUAUUUCCAGGCUAUGGCCUGCUUUGUACCCAAAAAAAAAAAAACUCCUUGCUGUAUUUUCUUUUCCAAACAAUAGUGGGAAAAAAAUCUUUGCAGCAGUUGAAAAUCAGUUUUGUUUUCUUUGUGGAUUAUUAUUAUCGGCAUUGCAAAUCAAGAUAUUAAGUUGAUCAGGAAAAUCAUGGCUGUCAUUAAACUUAAGUUUUUCUAGAAUAAUGUCACUGUCUUCAGUUGUUUGUCAACUUUCAAACCCUUUCUUGUUUUACCAAAGUAUUGAUCAGUUCUUAAACCAGCAUUUCAUUUUAUCUUUCUUUUGAUUUAUAAACUGCUAUAAAUAACUACAUUAGAAAUUGUUUUCAUAAACCAUUUGUGAAAAUGCAAAUCAGCAAGCAAAAGGUUAGCAGGUUUGCCCAUCGACCGACUCUAUGGAGUGCCCUAUCUAUUUUUUAUACUUGAGGUCGUCGGAAUUUGAAAUUUGGUCCCUACAAUUAGGAGUCCACCACUUUGAGUUUAUGUAUGACAAUUCAAUUAAUCACAUCCUCAUUCAUGAGGUAUAUAAGAUAUAAUUAGAUUAAACAAUUAAUUUAUUCAGUAUUCAACUCUCUCUCUCUACCUUCUCUCACUACUGUUACUCUCUCUUGCCUUUUUUUUCCUGGAGUAUCAUCUCCACAUCCCUUGAUUUUCUUAUUUUUGUUGGGUGAUAAACGUUCUACUUCUUACCUUUCAGUGAUCUUCUCGACCAUCACAUAUACUAGGAGUUAAAUAACAAUCACAGAAAAUGGUAUCAAAAUCUUUUAUAAAUUGGCGAUUUAUAGGUAUGUACUCUCAUCCUAGGUGAACAAACUAAGAACAAUCCAUAGACCACAAGCCAAGAAAGAGUAAACAACGAAAGGAAACAAAGGAGUCCAGAAAACAAUGCCAGAAAAGAACAAUAAGUAGAAGACGAAGUUAAAAGAGAAGAAGACAUAACUGUUUAAAUGACUCUAGGGGGCCCUCAUCUCAGCAUGUCAGCAUUCAUGGUGAGGAGUGUUAAGACACAGUACGCCAGGCCAGGUGGGACAACAGCCCAUUUAAUUGGACAUGUCCCCUUCAACUGCCUGCACUGUCUUCCUUUUUCCCUCGUUUGCUUUUCUGCUUUUUGGCGCGGUGAGAUUGGGUUAAGUGGUAAAAGUGUGCUUCGAAAUAAUGAUAUACAUAUAAAAAUAGAAUUAGAAGUAAAAUGAUUUAAAAUUUUAAUAAUAAUUAUAUGAGUUUAAUAAAAUUUAAAAAUAUAUAUUUUAUAUUUUUAUCUUGAUAUUAAUUAUGAUACAUAAUUUUAUAUAAAAUAUAAUAUAAAUAUAUAAAUUUUAAUAAUUUAUAUAAUACAAAUAUACGAAUUAUCAAUUCUAUGUGUUUUUUUCUUUGUUACUUAAGUUUAAAUCCGAUAAAAAAGUUGUAAUCUAUAAAAAAACAUGUUUUUAUGAACUCGUUAUAUUAAUAUACGUAGGUGACUGAUUUAGAUAGGAGUGCAUUAGACAAAGCCCAUCCCCCCUCUCGGCUAAAUUAAAAAAAAAAUGCGACAAAUAAUUUUGGGUUGGUUGCCUACAUCCCUGUAACUAGCACCCAUUCGGCUGGUUGUCCACAUGGUCUUAGGCGUAAUCUAUCCUCGUGGUCUUCUGAUAAAGCAAACUGUUUGUUGAGGAUCCUGGGUUUAACCAAAACCCAAUUCAUGACUCGAGCAUUAUCAAGCUCGCAACUUUGGUUUGGAGCACAAAAUUGUUCAUGGCAAACUACAACUAAUAUCUUCCAUGAUAACAAUGGCAAUUCGGGACAGUAAAAAACUACAGCCUAUACGUAGUACAGCAAGUUAAACCUUAGAAACAUAGAUGGAAGACUGGUUUAGGGACAAAGAGAGAUAGGACUUCCAAAAUAUAUGCCUUAUAAGCAACCUCAAAUGAAGUUAUAAUGAGACCAUAAUGACUGUAAAAGGAAGGCACACUGAAGCCUCUCAACCAUGAACGUUAAAUGGGUAUUAGUUCAUUUGCACCCUUUAUCCUCCUCAUUUUAUCUCCAUCUUAGUUCUUUUUCGCUGGGAAAAUCUUAAAUUACUAAAGAGAAAGGGGUUAGUGCUUCCAUCUCAUAUUCAUUUCAAAGCCCAAGCAUGUCAGCAUUUUUAUUAGCUCAUUGGUUCUUUGAUGGAGAGAAUAGGCUGGCUAGUAAAGGUGGGGUCAAGGUGCACUGAAUUUUGGGUUGAUAGGAGGGUCCAGACAGGAGACCUGCCAGAUGCCAACAAACCUUAUUGUUUAUAGAUCCAUUUAGGAGCCCGGUUAUAGGCCGGUUGUAGGGAUUUUAUCGCAUCAAAAGAUACGUUUUUAAUAUUCAACUACAGAAAAUAUUUUUGAAAAAUAUUUAUAUUUUUCGAAAAAAAUGGAGAUUUUUUAUUGUUUAAAUUAGUUAACGAAAAUACCUUUUAUUAUUUAGUUAUUUUUUGAAAAAUUUGUUUUUUUUUUCAAAUAAUGUUAAUGUAACUAUUAAAAUAUUAAAAUUUAUUUAUUAUUAAAGUAUAUAGAAAUUAUUUAUUAUUAAAAUUAUUAAUUUUCAAGAAUAAUUAUAUUUUAAUAAUUAUAUUUUAAUAAUAUUAUUAAUAUAUUAAAAUAUUAUAUUAAUAUAAAAUACUUAAAAUAAAAUUAUUUGUUAUUCUUUAUAUUAAUAUUGUAAAAUAUUUAAAAUAGUAUUAUUAUUCUUAAAAUAUUAUUUUUAUUAAUUUAAAAUAGUAAAAUUUAUUAUUAAAGUAUUUAUACUAUUAAAAUAUUUAUAUUUUAUAUUGAAAGUAUCUAUUAUUAAAUCAUAACCAAAAUCUUUUUUAUUUAUAUUUAUUUUUAAAAUAUUGAUAUAAAUAAUUUAAUAAAUAAAAUAAAAAUUAUAUAUUUUAAAGUAAAAAAUGAUAAAAAAUAAAAAUAUGUAUAAAGAAAAUAAUAUUAUUAUAUUAUGCAGCAUUAAUUAUUAAAAUAAUUAAAAUAUUAUUAAAUGUUAUUUUUUUAUUAUUAAAACAAUAAUAUAAUACUAUUUAUUAUUGAAAUACUAAAAAUAUUUAUGUUUAAUAAUAUAUAAAAUUAAAAUAUUUAAAAUUAAAAUAUCAAAAGACUUUUAAUAUUAAUAUUUUAAUAUUUUAAAUAAAAUUAAAUAAAAUAUUUUAUUAAUAUAAUAAUAUUUUAAUUUAAUCAAAUCAAGUUUAGGUUUAAAAUAUUAUGUUUAGAAUCUUAUUUGACUAAAAUUAUAAAAAAAUAUUUAAUGUUAAAAUAUUAAAAGAAUUUUAAUAUUAAUAUUUUAACUUUUAAGUAAAAUUAAAUAAAAUAUUAUUUAUUAAUAUAAUAAUUUUUUAAAUCGAAUCGAAUUAAGUUUAAAUUUUAAAAAUCAUAUAUUAAAUUCAAAUAAAAUUAUAUUCAAAUAUAUUGAUAAAUAAUUUUACUCAUAAAUAUUUUUUAAAAAAAUUAUUUUUUUUCAAAAAAAUAAAAUAAUUUUUAAAAAAAUAACAUUAUUUUCUAUUGAUCAACAAUUUAAUUUUUGUUAAUCAAAUAAUUUUUUACCAAAAUAAAUACUUAAAAAUAUAAAAAUUAUUUUCUAUGAAACAAAUAAAGUCUAUAUACAUACUUCACAGUAUGAAUCAUAAAUGCAUCUUGUGAUGAGAAAUUUUCAAUCGAACUCUGUAACUCAUGUAAAAGGACGACGACACUCCUCUUUUCCUUCCAUUUUCCUUGAGAAAACAAAGAAAAUUUAACCCACUAAUAUUUCAUUUUAUUUUCUUAAUAGCUGCAAUCAAAUCUUCCUUUUCAACUUCAAUAAUGCGCAAGCGACAACAGGCGAAGAAAAUAUGGCUAUUGUCGCAAAACAUGUACUACUAUUAAAAUUAUCCAUCGGGAAAAGUCUUCGUUUUAUAUGGAUUACGAACAGACAGCCACCAACCGCAACUAUAAAAAUAUCUCAUAUAAAAUAAGAAAAACCUGCCACCACAAACCAUUUUUGUCCAUUACUCCACCACGCAAAUAUCCUAAUCUUAGGUCAAAGGGUUUUGUUUCACUUGUAAAUUUCCUAUACAUAAAUCCAAUAGACCUGGCUAGUGGCAAAGGGGGUCGGUAAACAGGCAGGACCGCAAUUUGGUUUUGGAAAAAAUAAAGCACCAAAAAAAAAGUACUAAAAAUUACAACUUAAUAAAUAUUAAAAUUAAAAUUUAUUCAUUUUCUUUCAAUUUUUCCAUGUUUUUUCCAAACCCACUUUUAUUAAUGUUUACCAACACUCGAUAAAGAAAUAGAAAGUGAAAGUUAAAGCAAAUUGCUCCUCUUUUUAUGAUAAUUAAUUGAUAACCAAAUGCAGCAAAACUAGACUGCAUCAAUGGCAAUAUUAUCUCCUCACACACCCCAACACCUUAUUCAAACCCAUCUAGUCUUCUUCAAGGAGAGACCAAUCCUUUUUGUCCUCCCAAACUUUCCAACCAUCCAAACAGAAACUCCUACAAAAUUCAAACCUAACAAUCUAACCACAAACCAUCGAUAAAUUUUGGUAAAAAGAAACGAUCAGAGCAUCCGUGUGUAUUGUUUUUCUCGACGAACUCUUAUGAUCUCUCCUCAGUACCUGUAGUGAGGAGGCUUGUAAGGUCCUUCAAUGGGCACGCUAAUGUAAUCAGCUUGUUCCUUGGUGAGCUUGGUAAGCUUAGCUCCAAGCUUGCCAAGGUGAAGAGCAGCAACUUUCUCAUCAAGGUGCUUGGGCAAAACAUACACCUUCUUCUCAUACUUGCCGGUUCCCUUCUCCUUCCACAGCUCAAGCUGAGCAAUCACCUGGUUUGUGAAUGAGCAAGACAUGACAAAGCUAGGGUGGCCAGUGGCACAACCCAAGUUCAUGAGACGCCCCUCAGCCAACACAAUGACGCCACUAUUGGUUUCAGGGAAGACCCACCUAUCAGUUUGAGGUUUGAUGGUGAUGCGCUUAACACCGGGACAGUUCUCAAGACCAAGCAUGUCGAUUUCAUUGUCGAAGUGACCAAUGUUGCAAACAAUGGCAUUGUUCUUCAUCUUCUUCAUGUGAUCAACCAUGAUGAUGUCCUUGUUACCGGUUGUAGUUACAAAGAUAUCAGCCUGAGAGACAACAUCCUCAAGUGUCAGAACAUUAAGUCCUUCCAUAAGAGCCUGAAGGGCACAGAUGGGAUCAAUCUCAGUGACAACGACGCGAGCACCAGCUUGCUUCAAGGCAGCAGCACAGCCCUUACCAACAUCACCAUAACCACAUACAACAGCAAUCUUGCCAGCAAUCAUGACAUCGGUAGCUCUCAUCAAACCAUCAGGAAGAGAGUGACGGCACCCGUACAAGUUAUCAAACUGUUCCAAAAGAUCAAAUCAUAGCAGCAAUCAGAUCAGAAUCCAGAAAUGACAAUUAAAUACCACAAUUCAAUUAACGAACAAAAGACUAUUAGCUGGGCAAUGGGAAUCUAACUAACAACUACCUAUGAAAUCAUAGGAUAAAACAAAAUAAAGCCUUCCAUUAAUUCUUAAAAUCAAGAUCUAAGAACAAGUUCACAAAAAACCCAAGUUGAAAAUCGAAAGAAAACAUCACUAACAGUGAAAACAGAGCUAGCAAACACCAGAUCUGAAGCAAUUUAAAAAAAAAAUGAAUUGUCAUUUUUGAAACCAUUUUCAUCAGAUCUGCAUGACAAAUCACCAGAUCCGUUGUGUAAGAAGUUGAAAAGUAUAGCAACAAUAAGAAUUGAGAAAAAAUAAACCUUGCUCUUGGUGACAGAGUCAUUGACAUUAAUAGCAGGGAACAACAAGGUUCCAUUCGCCUGCAUCUGAUAAAGCCUCUUAACGCCAGUUGUAGUUUCCUCAGAAACACCAACCAAUCUCUCCUUCAUCUUCGAAUACUUCUUGGGAUCUGUCUUCAACCCAUCUCUAAUUAUCGUCAAAACAAUCUGAAACUCAGCGUUAUCCGUAGAAGACGGAUCUGGGAGCUGCCCAGUUUUCUCAUAAACCUCCUCGGCUUUAACUCCUUCAUGGAUCAACAAAGUAGCAUCCCCACCAUCAUCCACGAUCAGAUCAGGUCCACCAGUGGGACCCCAGUCGAGAGCUCUCUCAGUACACCACCAGUAUUCCUGGAGAGUCUCACCUUUCCAGGCGAAUACAGAGGCGGAUUCACGAGCGAUGGCGGCGGCGGCGUGGUCUUGGGUUGAGAAAAUGUUGCAAGAGCACCAACGGACUUCGGCUCCAAGGGCAGUUAGUGUUUCGAUAAGAACAGCGGUUUGGAUC
rnacentral:lncRNA from 1 species